CCACCGGCGCCGUCUCCAAGGCGAAGAAGUACGUGGUGGGGCGCAAGCUCGGCGGCGGCCUCAGGAAGAAGGCGGUGGCGCGGUCCGUCAAGGCCGGGCUGCAGUUCCCCGUCGGCCGCAUCGGCCGCUUCCUCAAGAAGGGCCGCUACGCGCAGCGCGUCGGCAUGGGCGCCCCCGUCUACCUCGCCUCCGUCCUCGAGUACCUCGCCGCUGAGCUGCUUGAGCUGGCCGGGAACGCCGCCAAGGACAACAAGAAGUCCCGCAUCAUCCCGCGCCACCUGCUGCUCGCCAUCCGGAACGACCAGGAGCUCGGCAAGCUGCUCGCCGGCGUCACCAUCGCGCACGGCGGCGUGCUGCCCAACAUCAACCCCCUGCUGCUCCCCAAGAAGACCGCCGAGAAGGAGCCCAAGUCGCCCAAGAAGGCCCCCAAGUCCCCCAAGAAGGCUUAGUCUCGAUUACUGUCUAGUGCUUCCUAAUAGAAUUAGUGUUCGCUGUUCAUGUCGAUGUCGUUAUGUUCUGUUCUGCUUUGAAAAAAAAAUGUCGGAAAUAUGUCUGUCUUACAGUAAGUUCAUUCUCCGUCUGCUCAUGAUUUUGCAAUGCCGUCUUACAGUUUCACAUCUGCAUGGUGGGAUGCCAAUUUUUUGAAUCUGACAAAUUGAGUUUGGUGUGGUUACUAGAAAAAUGUCAGAAAUCUCUGCUUACAGUUAAUUCUUUGCUCUGUUUUCCGUCUGUUCAUGAUUUUGCAAUGCUAUGUAGUUUUACAUCUGUGUGGUGGGAUGAAUCCUCCUUGUUGUAUUUACUGCUCAUUUGAAUCUGACAAAUUCACUUGGUCUGGUUACUAGAAACUCUUAAAAGUCAGAGUUGCAAGAUGAGAAGAAGGCAGGUUGUAUGAGGUCAGGUUCAGACAUUUCUAUAAGUAAAGUACCACCAAACCAAAUUUCCAGCUUAUGUAUGAAUGAAAUGAUUAGCUAAUUCCUGAAAUCACUACAUUCUAGAACACGUACUAUGUUGCUUAAUGACUGAAUUAAAAGUUCAGUUGCAUAUCUCUGAAACAAAUACAGAGAAAGAGGACCCAUUCUUGAUAGCCCAAAGUUGCUGGGGUUAUGGGAACUUAGAAAGGCCUCUAGCUGAUGAGAUUUGAGUGGCUAAUUUUCUUAAUAACAACAUGCACUUUUACGAUUUCCACACAUUUGCUCGUUGUUUUUGUGAAAACUAUUGGCUGCUUGUGUGAUGCACUGCUGUUGUAUAUUCUAGUGCCCGCGAUCUGUUUUACAUUAAUAUACUGUAAAAUGUUAUUUUGUUCAACAAAAAGUAGUCCCUUAAGACAGUCGUUUUGUCUUUUGAUGAUCCUCUGUUUAUUUGUCCUUUAAGCAUGUUAUUUUCUGGUGUGUCCAUGGAAAAAUGGGCAGUAGUAACUACACUGUCUAAGCAUACAGUAACUGAUGCCUCACUCUUGAAUACCAUAGAUCUGUUCAGAAGGGCCAGUGUUAGCAACUUGUUACCGAAUUCAUAAUAUUUCUCGCAGCUGGUAGAAGGUUUGUACCACACGGAGCAGAUCCAAAAACCUGCCAAAGUUUUUAAAUGUCACUGCAAAUGAAAUUUCAGCCUUACCACCUGUAGCGAGGCACUUGAUAUACUAAUUCAAGGGAGUUGUAUACUUGUAUGGCCGGAAUGAUAUGUGACACGAUCAGAAUGAAUUCAUUAGCGGUUUGCACCGGCUCUUGUUGCACAUUUUCAACUUAUAACACACUUAUCCAAGCACCACACUAUUUUCCCACGAUUCUCCACAUCACAGAUUUGNNNNNNNNNNNNNNNNNNNNNNNNNNNNNNNNNNNNNNNNNNNNNNNNNNNNNNNNNNNNNNNNNNNNNNNNNNNNNNNNNNNNNNNNNNNNNNNNNNNNNNNNNNNNNNNNNNNNNNNNNNNNNNNNNNNNNNNNNNNNNNNNNNNNNNNNNNNNNNNNNNNNNNNNNNNNNNNNNNNNNNNNNNNNNNNNNNNNNNNNNNNNNNNNNNNNNNNNNNNNNNNNNNNNNNNNNNNNNNNNNNNNNNNNNNNNNNNNNNNNNNNNNNNNNNNNNNNNNNNNNNNNNNNNNNNNNUAUUUGCCCUCGUAGACCAGUGAUGGUUAUUUUUCGAUCAAAGGAUAUGUAGUUGGGACAUUCGAAAUAUAGUAAUAGUUAUUCAUUUCUUUAUUUAGAGCGUCAUCUCUCCCUACUCUCAACUAGAGGUCGAGUCUUGGGCUUAUACCAUAGUAGAACAUGCGUGGACUGGGGCCGUGUCAUGCUGUCUGCUGAGGUUCUAGGCUUCUGGGGACGUGCCCCACUGACUGUCAUGCUACUUUGAGAUUAGCACGCCGCAGAAGAUGGUCUUCCACUGGACGACCAUCCAUUAAUUGUUGCGGCUUGAAUGUCACCCUUGGACCCAAUUGUCGGCGACUCAAUGCUAGAUCGGUGCGAACCUGGCCGUCUUGAAGAUCAUGACAAUGACGGCAGCGAUGGCCCGCCUCAUGCAACCAUCAUCAACCUUCGAUGAGUACUCUGCCGCAAAGCUAGAGAGGCGCGUGUCGGCGUGCGGCGUGGUCCGGCCUAGACCAAGCUUGUCUAGGUUACUGUUGCCACCGAAGCCCACUAGGCAUGAAUAGUGAUCAUUUGAAGGCAACAUGGUCGGCAAAAGGAUGAGGGUUAGGCAUACUAGAAUAGGUAGUCUGCUUUUCUUUCUGAAUUACAUAAUUUGUUUAUAGACUGGUCUGGCCCAGUCAUUAUUGGGGGUGACUUUAAUCUGGUUAGAUCUAUAGAGGAUAAGAAUAAUGGUAAUAUUAACUUUAGAUGGGCUGAUAAAUUCAAUGUAUGGAUUGAUAUGUGGUCUCUGGUGGAGAUCAACAUGUCAGGUAGACUGUAUACUUGGGGUAAUAAUCAAGAGAAUCUGAUUAUGUCUAAGAUAGAUAGGAUCUUUUGCACUACUGAGUUUGAUGCUGCUUACCCCAUGGCUAAUGCUAGAGUGUUACCUAGGGUGGGCAGUGACCACACUCCAGUAGUGUGGGAAUCUGGUUCCAAUGAGGUCCAUAAAAGUUGUAGUUUUAAAUUUGAGAAGUGGUGGUUGACUAGACCUGACUUCAGAGAGUUGGUGAGCAAAGCUUGGACUAGUAGAUGCUAUAGCAGUAGUCCUGUGGAUAUCUGGCAACACAAAGUUAGAACUUUUAGGAAGCUUGCCAAAGGAUGGAGUAGGAAUUUAGAAGCUGCUCUUAGGAGAGAAAAAAAGAGUUUAUGGAGGAGUAUGACUCUUUGGAUAUCAGGGCUGAAACUAAUUUGAUGUCUGAUGAGGAUAAGGAGAGGAUGGGUUACAUCCUGAAAGAGUUGCAACAGGUGUGGGAAAUUGAGGAGAUUAAAGCUAGGCAAAGGUCUAGAGAUAGGGAUAUUCUAGAGGGUGAUAGGAAUACUGCUUAUUUUCAAGCAGUAGCUAAUCAAAGGAGGAGAAAGAAAAUGAUUCAUGUUCUGGAGGGGGAAGAUGGCCCAGUUAGUGAUAGUGAGGGGAUGAAGAAAAUAGCUGUAGAUUACUAUAAAAAGCUGUUUGGGUGGGAGCCUAAACCAGACAUUCAUUUGUAGGAUGAUUUCUAUAGUUCUGAUGAAAAAGUAACUUCUGAAGAAAAUGCUAGGCUGGAAGCUAGAUUCUCAGAGGAAGAGAUUAAAAAUGCUGUGUUUGGCUCUUACUCAGAUGGAGCACCUGGCCCAGAUGGGCUACCUUUUAUGUUUUUCCAAAAUUUAUGGGAGAUUGUGAAGGAAGACCUCAUUAGGAUGUUUAAUUCCUGGUUUGAUGGUAAUUUAGACCUUUUUAGGCUUAACUUUACUAUGAUUACUGUGACCCCUAAAGAGAAUGAGGCCAGAACCAUGAACAAAUUUAGGCCUAUUAGUCUUCUUAAUUGUGUGUUUAAGAUUUUUACUAGUACUCACAAAUAGGCUUGCUGGGGUUAUUGGUAGACUAAUCUCUGAUUUCCAGUCUGCCUUUGUGAGAGGGAGAUAUAUUUUGGAGAGUGUUGUGUCUGCACAUGAAGUGGUGCAUGCAGUACAUUCUUCUGGUAGAUAGGGUUUAGUGUUUAAAAUAGAUUAUGAAAAGGCAUAUGACAAAGUUAAUCUAGAUUUCCUUUAUGAGAUGUUGGCUCUAAGGGGAUUUGGAACUUGGAUAGGUUGGAUUAAGAGUAUCACCCAGGGUGGCUCUGUUGGAGUCAAACUAAAUGGGGAGGAAAGUAACUUCUUCCUAACAGGUAAGGGAUUGAGGCAAGGGGAUCCAGUGGCCCCUUUGCUUUUUAAUUUGGUUGUAGAUGUCUUUUCUAGAAUGCUAGUUAAAGGUUCUCAUUCUGGGUUAAUUAGGGGGCUAUGCCCUGAGCUGGUUCCUGGAGGAAUCAUGUGCUUACAGUAUGCUGAUGAUACCUUGUUAUUUCUUGAAAAUGACAGUAGAUUAGCCUUAAAUCUCAAAUGGAUCCUCACAUGUUUUGAGCAGGUUUCAGGCAUGAGAAUCAAUUACCACAAAAGUGAUUUAGUUCCUAUUAAUGUUAAUACUAGAGAUUUGGAGGGGUUCAUUGAGAUAUUUCAAUGUGUAGAGGGAUCCUUCCCUAUCAAAUAUUUAGGUAUACCCUGCAUUUUGAUAAAUUGAGCCGAGAGGAUCUGAAAUUCUUAAUUGAUAAAAUUUUGGCUAGAAUAGCAGGUUGGAGAGGGAAGCUGCUUUCCUAUCUAGGGAAGAUUAUUCUCAUCAAAACUUGCUUAGCUAGUAUUCCUGUUUAUUUACUAUCCUUUUUCAAAUUCCCUAAAUGGGCCCUGAAUUUGACUAACUCCCAUAUGGCUAAUUGUCUGUGGAGUGACACUGAUGGUGCCCACAAAAUCCACCUAGCUAACUGGCCUUCUAUCUGUAUGAAGAAGGAGUUCGGGGGCAUGGGGGUGCCAAAUCUCCAAGAUAUGAAUCUCUAUCUUAUUGGGUCUUGGGUUAGAAGGUACAUAGCUCGAGAGGGGUCCAUGUGGAGGAAAAUUAUUGAUAACAAGUAUAAUACUAAAAACCCAAAUAUCCUUUGCUAUCAUGAUCCACAUCCUUCCCAGUUUUGGAAAAGUUUUAUGUGGACUUUGCAAGCUGGGAAAGUGGGAUUCAAAUGGCAUAUUGGAGAUGGCAGUUUAGCUAGAUUUUGGGAAGAUACCUGGUAUGUGAAUGCUCCUUUAGCCACCCAAUACUGGGAUCUGUAUGUUUUAGUGAAUGAGAAUAAUAAAACCAUUGCAGAAAUUUGGGAUGGUCAAGAGCUCAAAUGCACUUUUAGAAGGACCUUCUUAGAUGAACUGAUGUCACAGUGGUUUGCGUUAGUAGACAUUCUUUCCCUGACUAAGUUUAGCCAGGAGAAAGAUUCUUUGAUUUGGAAAUAUGAGUCUAAUGGGAUUUACUCUUCUAAAUCUCUCUAUGCUAUUGUCAACUUUAGGGGUGUUCAACCUGUUUAUUUGCCUGCUGUCUGGAGUGUGAAAAUACCACCUAGGGUGUUAGGCUUUCUUUGGCUUUUCUCACAAAAUAAAAUUAUGACUUGUGACAAUCUUAGGAAAAGAGGCAUUGCAAAACCCCUAGAAUGUGUCCUUUGUAAGGAGAUCGAAUCUGUGCAUCAUUUGUUUUUUGACUGUUUGGUAGCUAGGCUUAUUUGGGCUGAGGUGAAUUCUGUUUUUAGUAUUUCUGUUACUGAGUACGAGUCUGUAGCUAAGUUCUGGCUUUGUGCUAAAAAGCACAAGCAGUUUAAUGUUGUGAGCUCUACAGUCCUGUGGGGGCUGUGGAAUUUUAGAAAUUCUAUUGUCUUUAAUAGACGUUCUUGGAUCUCUAUAAAACAGGUUCUGGGGCUGGUGUACCGCUAUCUAAGGGACUGGACCAAGCUGUUUCAAGAUCUCCAGGGGGAAAAAGGCUAGAGUUUCAGGAACUGAUCUGGGAAAGGCUGAGGAAAUCCCUGAUGCUGGAGCCGGGCUGAUCUGUCACAAAUGGUUUGAAGACCAAAAUGGUGAAGAGCUCUGGAUGAAGGCAGUGGGAAAAGCUGCUCAUGGAGGGAAGACUACCCUUGAAUACCAACUGCAACACCCGGAAGAAGCUGAUAACAUUCACGUGGUCAGCAUCGGGUGGGAAUCUCUCCCCUGCUAGAGCAGUCUUGCUUGGUGCAGAUGCGCACCUCUGCUUCUUACUUGUUAUGGGUUUCUUUCGAGCUGUCCUGUUCUAUGGGCCUGAGUUUCUUUUAGCUGGUUGUAAUAACUUGGAGCAGUAGUGGAUGGAGAUGUGUCUCUCUUCAUGAGUCUGAGUCUGGUUUUUGUUUUUAUCUUGGUCCUGUAUGAACUUGUACGCUGAUGGUUUCUUUCUAUAUGAAAUGGAGCCGGGGGUGAGCCCCUGAUUAUCGAAAAAAAAUACUAGAAUAGGUAGGUCAAAGACCAUGUUUCGGUUCUCGGUUCCCUUGGAAUUGGGUAGAGCUUUGCUAUGUUGNNNNNNNNNNNNNNNNNNNNNNNNNNNNNNNNNNNNNNNNNNNNNNNNNNNNNNNNNNNNNNNNNNNNNNNNNNNNNNNNNNNNNNNNNNNNNNNNNNNNNNNNNNNNNNNNNNNNNNNNNNNNNNNNNNNNNNNNNNNNNNNNNNNNNNNNNNCACCUGUAUUCCCCAAAAAGGAAAAACGUAGUUAGCUCCUGCGCCCGAUCGAGCAACAGAAAUGACAGAGUAGUAACGAAUUGAACAAGGGCUACUCCACUUACUCCCAUGGGUUGAGAGGAUCCCUCGAAAUGUAGGAGAUAUGCCCUAGAGGCAAUAAUAAAUGAUAUUAUUUAUCUCCGAGUUCAUAAUUAUGUUUAUGUUCCAUGCUAUAACUGCUAUGGUUCUCGAGUCAGCAAUAACCACGAGGCUCGGAGGAAGACUCAUAUGCACGUGUGGAAUAAUAAACGGUAAAAUGUAUUCCUAGUCUGGCCUCUAAGACUAGCUCAAGUGUUGCAUGAUGGUUAUGUUUUCCUGAUCAUGGGCAUGUCUAUGUCAGCAACCUUGAGGGCAUAAUGUUAAGAGAACAUUUGUGUUGAAUCGACCCGGCAUGAUGUUAUGCUAUGAGAUUCAUUCGUCACAAGUUUAUUGGUACAUAACACAGAGAUGGUUAACGUUUGCAUGAUUCCUUAGACCAUGAGAGUAUCGAGUUUCUUCAUGCUUGCUUCAUGAACUUUGGGGUUUGUUAAACGUCAUCCGUAAAUGGGUGGCUAUUACGGCGGCUUACGGGUUCAUGGAAAAGUGUGUCAAGUAACUUGAUAGCUCAAGAUUGGGAUUUGCUCCUCCGACGAUGGAGAGAUAUCUCUGGGCCCUCUCGGUGUUACGGUAUCCAUCAUCGUCUGGCCAGACACUUUGUGAUUUGAUCACGGGGAUGCCGGAACACGAUAACGAGAAAAGAGAACAAUACCGGUAACGAGGUAACUAGCAUAGUGGACAAGUUGUUGAUCCAUGGGAAUGCCAACAUGUCUCACCUCGGGUAUUUGUAACAUAUCGCGAAGCAACAGGAAUAGCACACGGCAACUGGAGGUUCACUCGAAUAUUUAUUCGUGUGGGUAUAGGGGGUCAAUAUGGGUGUCCACGGCUCCGAUGUUGAUCAUUGAUCGGAAGGGGUUCCGGGUCAUGUCUAUACUUCACCGAACCUAUAGGGUCACACGCUUAAGGGUCAUCUAUCUGCUGAAUACUAGACAGGGAGUCUGAGAGAAAAUCACCGAAAAAGUUUCGGACACCGAAAAGUUUCGGACAGCGGAAUCGUACCGCAGAGAGAGGUCAUUGGAUAAGUUUUGAUGAUACCGAAAAGUUGUUUCGGGAUACACCAUUAAGUCAAAUUGGUUUCGGCACAUGCCUGAUAAUUCUUGGAGGAUGCCAGAAUCAUUCUGGAAGCUUUUUGGAAUUUUCUGAGAUAAAAACCGGAAAUGUUCCGGAGCUGCCGGAGCCACUUCAGAUGCGUUUCGCAGAUGAAAAUCACUAAAACCGGAAUUGUUUCGGAACGCGUUGAAAAUCAUUUUAGUGGGUACUGGAAAUGUUCUUAGCCCACAUAAAUAUUUUCAGUUCGAUCAGACGCUGAAAAAUGUCGUCGUGAAUAGUGAAAAUCAGCUUUAUGGUUACUUUAUGGAAAGCCACCUUUUGGGGCUUUGCUCCAAAAGAUCUUGGGGAUGACAUGGAUGGAUAGGAGCCAUUUUUUGGGCCCCUCAUGGGGGUGUGGCCGGCUACAUGGGGUAUCCCCCCUUGGGGACCCUCUUGUUCCUUGGUUUCACUCCUAGGUCCUUGUGGAAGGACUUCAUUCAUGUGCAUUUUGGGUUUUUUGUGAAACUACCCUACCCCCUUGGGAUUUCCUAUAAAUAGAGGUGGAGGGGCAGCCCUCCACACUCAUCCCUUGCUCUCAUACACAUGCCAUGCAUUAUCUGGCUUCUUCUCUCCCUCCCACGAAAAGAGUUUCGUAGAGCCGUAAGGCUGUCUGGGUUCCGGCAGGAACUAGUUCUGGACGGCGAAGCCCUGCCGGAUAGAUGACACCGUAUGUGUGCAACUCUGUAGAGAGAUCGUAGUUUCGGUCUUAGUUCGUGAGUGCCUCCCGAAGGGCUGUCCGUGUGACCGUCCGAGUUUCGAAGGUCCUCCCGAAGGGCUGUCCGAGUGACCGUUCGAGUUUCGAAGGUCCUCCCGAAGGGCUGUCCGCGACACCGUCCGGGGGGCUGUUCGACCGCCUCCUGGAGGGCUGUCUGAGGAGAAGAUGAAGGUAUACAUCCUCGCGGUUGGGAGGUUGUAAAUCCUAGCUGCGGGGAUCUGCACCGCCGAUCGUCAUCGACUCUACUUCCCGCUGCGCUACGAGUCGGUAACGAAAAAGAUCAAACCAUGUAUGCAGUCUCCAUAGUGGUCCUGGGCUGGUGCGUAGGUCGGAAAUUUUUUGUUUUCUGCUGCGUUCCCCUACAGUGGCAUCAAGAGCCGUGCUAUGCGUAGAUGCAGGUUUCGAUCUAGAAUACAUGGAGAUGUAUGGGUAUUGCAUAAUAUAAUUAGGUAGUAGAUGAGAUCUAUUGCUGAAAAUUAUUUAUGCGGGUGACAGAUGAAAUCUGUUACCCGAGGUUCUUGUUGCUUCCCUAGAAUUUGCGUUUGCUCAAUCUCGAGACAGCAUGGUGGAAUUUGACAAAGUUCUGGCAAUCCGUGAUCCUGAUUGAUCAUGGAAGUGCUAUCAGUUCUUUGGGUUCUGCCGUAGUCAAAAGAAAGAUGAAAUUCGCAGAUGAAAGGGCAUUGCAGAUAUGAUCUGCACGGGGGUCAUGCGUAUGACGAAGUUUAGUAUGGGGCUCGAGAUUUAAUUAUCCCGUGUUUCACACACCCCGAGAUGUUAAUCUAGCAACCUGAAUAAUCAUACUUGAUGAUAAAACGUUGGUAGCUGCGGUUUAAGUCAAAACCUUAGAAGCCACGUAAAAUAAAUUUUUGCAUAAACCUAUUAGAGGCGUCUAACUUGGUUUUGCAGGAUGUGCAUGUGAUGUGGUAUAGCAGUGCUCAUACUAAUUCGAUUAUGUAUGAGAUGACUAUAUGAUGUAAUUUGAUUAACAUGACCUGCGUGUCAUGAUUCGGCAUGAUGGCUGGAGCCAUAUGAUUGCAUUUUAAUGACCUGCGUGUCAACCUUGUUGUAAUGCAUUAUUUUGUUAGCUAUAGAGAUAGCAAUAUUAUCUGGUGCAUCGACAAGGUGGUGGCAAUCUUCGUGAAGGUGACCACCGACACGAAUGCCGAAGACGAAGAAAUGAAAUACUUCUCCGUCAGAAAGGGCUAUACCAUAUCAUGCUAUUAUGAAUUGCCUGAGAUGUUUAUCCCUUAUGAUGCACCCUUCUUGAUUGCGCGGUAGUCGCUUUUAUUAGGGUGAUCUCUCACUUAAAAUAUCAAGUAGUUAGUGUUCCCCCAAGUGUAGCACCGUCACGGCACCUAUCUUUUCGGGGUGCGCCAUGGAUGCAUGGGUACGAACGAUUAGAGAAGUGUGAGGCGGGUGAGGUCAGACCUCGCAGCAAGAUCACUUGGUUGUCUUGACGUUCAUGGCAGGAUCGUCCUGAGCUCGGAACACACGCAUCGAAAGAUGAGCAAGAGUCACAUAGAGAUGUGAUCGGCAAGUUGGCCUACCGAUUAAAAUUCCCGUUAUGAGAUGAUGAUUCUAUGGCGAUGAAUUGAAGUCUGGAUCUUGUAUCACUCAAAAUUAAUUGUGAGAGAUAUUGAUUUGAGUGGGAGCGCACUGUUGAAUUAACAUGUUUAAUUCUCAGUGCAAUUAAUUAUGAACACUGUCUAAGUGUUUCUUGCAAAAUAGUUGUAGAAUAAUGGUUCGCGUUUCCACCUUCCCUAUUAAAAUUGAAUAACUGUUAAAUAUCUGGUUAAAACUUUACGAUUGGUAACGUAAUAUGAGGAUUGUCCUCAAAAGUGCCGAGAAGGACUUUGUCCUAUCGCAUGCUUUCCGUAUCCUCCCGCUAAAGCUAUGGAUCAUGUGACUCUCGUCCUUCGAUCCAAAAGCUAUAAUUCCGUUUCAAUCAAGUGCAAUAUGUUUGCUUCCAUGAAACCCAAACUUCGAAAGUUGGGAUAGUUAUAUGAUAUUCAUGGAACUGAAAAUUAUUUUCAGAUACAAACAAAGCAACGUUUGUUUGCAAGUAUUAGUAAAAGUGUUUACUAUGCAUUUGACUGUUGGGAAAGGGAUCCAGAAGAACGCCUGUCAUAUAAUGAAAGGUGAAUAAAACAACAACUUAAAGAGAAAGGAAGUGUCCAAAGGGUGUUAGUAUGACUUACACGCCUAGGAAGUCCGGGGCUAACGCCACUCUUAAGUUGGGUGCUUCUUUUGCGAGUAGGAGAAAUACUAAAAGUUAAACUGUUAGAAGUAAAAAGGCAGAAAGAAAGAUGACUGGAAUAUCCAGCUCAUGUAUGAAUGUCAUACAAGUUUUUGUUGUAUAGUAGGCUGGUCAAAGAUAUAGUUCUUGGGAAUUAUGGUUAAACAUGUUAAUCACUAAUUCUUGGGUAUUGUGAGUUAAUCACAAAGAUACCCGCUCGAUUGCAUUCAAUUGCGAAUCACUGUAAGAGCUACUGUGGCCUAAAAAGACUAGCCAGAAAUGAGGUUAGGGUAUACACAGGGAACAUAGUAAAUGUUGCUAUACCUUCCAUCGAUGUAUUGCCGUCUGUAUUUAUUUUCAUAAUUCAUUUAGAGUUUUACAAACUCUAGCCCAUUGCAUAAGGUAUCUUGCAAGAAGGUUGUUCAUAAGAGAACCUUUUAUGUUCGAUGUUAUGAAUAACACAAGGGCCAUACUUUCAUUAUGAAUGAGAUGUAUGUUAUGAAUAUUGAUAAUAAUACAAUACCUCUGGGUUUACUUUCAUAAUUCAUUUUAGAGUUUCAUACACUCUAGCCCAUUGCACAAUGUUUGUUGCAAAAGAGUUGUUCAUAAAAACAACAAUUGUUGUUAAGUAUUAUGAAUAACAUGAAGGGCCAUGCUUCCAUCCAAGAUGGGACGUAUGUUAUGAAUAUUGAGGGUAAUAUGAUACAUCCAUAACACUGACGCUAAAUGUCGCAAGACUAAAAGAAUACCACACAAGUGUGGCACUACAUUUGGUCACAUUGGAGAAACCCGCAUGGAAAAUUCCAUUAUGAUGGAUUUUGAAGUCUUUUUGAUUUUGAAUCAUCUGACACUUGCAACUUUCCUCCGAAAAGUGAAGUGACUAAAAUACCAUUCACAGGCAAUAAGGAACGAACAACAAACUUAUUAGUGAUCAUACAUUUGAUGUGUGUAGUCCGAUAAGUGUUGUUAGUGGUGGAUUUAUUUAUCUUCAGAAAUGACUCAAGUAGAUAUAUGGAUAUUUACUUGAUGAGACGUAAGUCUGGAUCCUUUGAAAUCAUUCGAAAGGUUUUCAAAAAUGAAGUAGAAGUUAUUGUAACAAAAAAAUUAUGUUUCUGCAAUUUGAUUGCACAAAGGAAUAUUUGAGUUACAUGUUUAGCGAAUGUCUGAUGAGUUGUGAAAGGGGUUUCAUAACUUGCACCUCCCGGAACACCACUGCAAGUGAAAAGUCCGUGGAGAUGUAAUCUAACCAUUUAUGACAUGGUAAGGUCAAAGAUGACAUAAAUAAAUUUGCCAUUAUCCUUUUUAAAGUGAUGCUUUAGAGACUGCAGCUUUUACACUGAAAAGAGUUACAUCGGGUCUGUUGAAAUGAAGCCAUGGUAUGGUACGCCCAACCAUGUUAUAUCUUUUCUUAACAUUUGGAAUAUGGGGCUUGUGUAAAAGGUUACAAACCUAUUCCAAAUCAGACAAGUGCUACUUUGUAGGUUAUACCAAAAUGUUGGGUAUUCCUCCCUCACUAUACCGAGGCAAAUAGUUUUGCCGCGAAACGGUGUGCUUUUAAAGAGAAUGGUUCUUUCAAAAAGGUGAGUGGGAGAAUAGUGCAACUCGACGAGAUAAACAGUAUCUAAGUCAUCAGAUCAAAGGAAAGAGACCUUGGAAGUAAUUCCAGAGUUUCCUACUGCGACUGAUACGGAAGUCUCUACAAUAAAAUGUAUGAACUUCGGUCGAACUUGCAGCUGAACCACGUAGGCAAGGCUCGUGCAAACCUCUCAGGUGCGCAAACGAGAUAUUGUUGUUAGACAACAUUAUACCUACGAUACACAAGGAAGCGUUGAUGGGCCCUAACUCCGGAAUUGGCUAAAUGCCAAUACAACCCAAGUUAGUUUCCAUAUAAGUGAUUCAAGAUUAAAACCUUGAUACACCUUUCGGAAGACUUAGAGUCUAAAGAAUAUUUAUGGAACUUAAAACUGAUAUGGAUAAAAAUGUUUUAUCCAUAAAGCUCGACUUGUUGAAAUAACAAGUUCAAGAGUUGACUACGAUGAGGUUGUUUUCAUCGUAGCGAUGCUUAAAGUCGGUUCGGGUUGAACUAGCAAUUAAUACAUAUUUCAAUCAUGAGAUAUGAAACAUGGAUGAUAAAAGGAUUUCCAUCUGAUGGAAAUGAAAGCUAGGACUUGUAUAUGAUACAGUCCAAAGUAAUUUGUCGAUCCAGAGGAUGCUAGUAGGUAUGCAAACUUCAGAGUUCCAGCAAUGGACAGAAGAGAGCAAAAUGGAGUUGGAAUCUUCGUGUUUUGAUGAAAUGGUCAAAGGGGUUUUGACUUCAUCAAUGGGUAACGAAGAUGCUUGUAAUUCAAGAAAGUAAGUGGGAGCGUAAUAAUAUUUCUAAAAACCUUAUGUGCUUGGCACAUUGGUAAUUGGAAAUAAAUUUCUUGACACGAAUUAGGACUUCAUUUGAAAAUAGUUUUUCGAUGAAGUGCUUAGGCUAAAUAGCCUCAAUAUUAGGCAUGAUGAUCUAUGGAGAUAGAUUUACCUAAUGGGGCUAAGCAAUGAAUACAUAUUGACAAGAUGCUAAAACCUUUUAGCAUUUAAAACGCCAAGGAGUGAUUCUUGCAAAAGUCACAUGGAAGGAGUUUUUGCAAGACUCGGUGUCCCAAAACACUGAUGAGUAAAAUACAUGAUGCAGAUUCCACACACUUUUGUGUUUGGAUUAAUCAUGUAUUCCAUGGUAUGUAAAACAACCAGAUAUGUCCGAUACUCCCAAGGUGUUGCGAGUAUGGAUACUAAUGUGAUCAAAGUACUGAUCGUGGGACAACAGUGAAAGAUGUCAUUGAGUACUAGAGUAAGUACUGAUGAUAUGUUUUCUUGCAAGCGGAGACCAUGAAGAGUUCGUUGUAAAAUGUUACAUCGAUAGUCUUCAUCUUUUCACCGUGCGAUUUUUGAUUUAAGUUAAGGGUUUUGUGUAACACACAAUGUGGUGGCACAGUUAGUUGGAAUUUGUUCAAACUAGUUACUGUGGCGAAUUCUAUAACAAGGGCUAAGUAUGUUGACGCUUUAGAAGCGACAAAGAAGAUGUUGAAUCAUAUAGUUCAUUCAUGAACUUAGUAUAGUUCCAAGAUGGCUUUUGAUAAUGGGACACUACUGCAGGUAGUUGCUCCAUAACUCAGUCUCAGGAAUCCAGGUUCGACCUGUGAUUCACAUACAUACAAAGCCAAGUCCACACAAAAUAUGAAUUUUGUGAAAACGUGAAAACGCGAGGACAUGCAAAGAUACACACGGAACUGAAGUCGUCAGAUCCGUUGGACAUCAGGCUAUACCACAAGCAAAGCAUAUUUACACCGGUGUGCCACAGGUGUAAAGUGCAUUAGCAUUAACUAGAUUAUUGACUCUAGUGCAAGUGGGAGUCUGUAGGAGAUAUGCCCUAGAGGCAAUAAUAAAUGAUAUUAUUUAUCUCCGAGUUCAUAAUUAUGUUUAUGUUCCAUGCUAUAACUGCUAUGGUUCUCGAGUCAGCAAUAACCACGAGGCUCGGAGGAAGACUCAUAUUCACGUGUGGAAUAAUAAACGGUAAAAUGUAUUCCUAGUCUGGCCUCUAAGACUAGCUCAAGUGUUGCAUGAUGGUUAUGUUUUCCUGAUCAUGGGCAUGUCUAUGUCAGCAACCUUGAGGGCAUAAUGUUAAGAGAACAUUUGUGUUGAAUCGACCCGGCAUGAUGUUAUGCUAUGAGAUUCAUUCGUCACAAGUUUAUUGGUACAUAACACAGAGAUGGUUAACGUUUGCAUGAUUCCUUAGACCAUGAGAGUAUCGAGUUUCUUCAUGCUUGCUUCAUGAACUUUGGGGUUUGUUAAACGUCAUCCGUAAAUGGGUGGCUAUUACGGCGGCUUACGGGUUCAUGGAAAAGUGUGUCAAGUAACUUGAUAGCUCAAGAUUGGGAUUUGCUCCUCCGACGAUGGAGAGAUAUCUCUGGGCCCUCUCGGUGUUACGGUAUCCAUCAUCGUCUGGCCAGACACUUUGUGAUUUGAUCACGGGGAUGCCGGAACACGAUAACGAGAAAAGAGAACAAUACCGGUAACGAGGUAACUAGCAUAGUGGACAAGUUGUUGAUCCAUGGGAAUGCCAACAUGUCUCACCUCGGGUAUUUGUAACAUAUCGCGAAGCAACAGGAAUAGCACACGGCAACUGGAGGUUCACUCGAAUAUUUAUUCGUGUGGGUAUAGGGGGUCAAUAUGGGUGUCCACGGCUCCGAUGUUGAUCAUUGAUCGGAAGGGGUUCCGGGUCAUGUCUAUACUUCACCGAACCUAUAGGGUCACACGCUUAAGGGUCAUCUAUCUGCUGAAUACUAGACAGGGAGUCUGAGAGAAAAUCACCGAAAAAGUUUCGGACACCGAAAAGUUUCGGACAGCGGAAUCGUACCGCAGAGAGAGGUCAUCGGAUAAGUUUCGAUGAUACCGAAAAUUUGUUUCGGGAUACACCAUUAAGUCAAAUUGGUUUCGGCACAUGCCUGAUAAUUCUUGGAGGAUGCCAGAAUCAUUCUGGAAGCUUUUUGGAAUUUUCUGAGAUAAAAACCGGAAAUGUUCCGGAGCUGCCGGAGCCACUUCAGAUGCGUUUCGCAGAUGAAAAUCACUAAAACCGGAAUUGUUUCGGAACGCGUUGAAAAUCAUUUUAGUGGGUACUGGAAAUGUUCUUAGCCCACAUAAAUAUUUUCAGUUCGAUCAGACGCUGAAAAAUGUCGUCGUGAAUAGUGAAAAUCAGCUUUAUGGUUACUUUAUGGAAAGCCACCUUUUGGGGCUUUGCUCCAAAAGAUCUUGGGGAUGACAUGGAUGGAUAGGAGCCAUUUUUGGGGCCCCUCAUGGGGGUGUGGCCGGCCACAUGGGGUAUCCCCCCCUUGGGGACCCUCUAGUUCCUUGGUUUCACUCCUAGGUCCUUGUGGAAGGACUUCAUUCAUGUGCAUUUUGGGUUUUUUGUGAAACUACCCUACCCCCUUGGGAUUUCCUAUAAAUAGAGGUGGAGGGGCAGCCCUCCACACUCAUCCCUUGCUCUCAUACACAUGCCAUGCAUUAUCUGGCUUCUUCUCUCCCUCCCACGAAAAGAGUUUCGUAGAGCCGUAAGGCUGUCUGGGUUCCGGCAGGAACUAGUUCUGGACGGCGAAGCCCUGCCGGAUAGAUGACACCGUAUGUGUGCAACUCUGUAGAGAGAUCGUAGUUUCGGUCUUAGUUCGUGAGUGCCUCCCGAAGGGCUGUCCGUGUGACCGUCCGAGUUUCGAAGGUCCUCCCGAAGGGCUGUCCGAGUGACCGUUCGAGUUUCGAAGGUCCUCCCGAAGGGCUGUCCGCGACACCGUCCGGGGGGCUGUUCGACCGCCUCCUGGAGGGCUGUCUGAGGAGAAGAUGAAGGUAUACAUCCUCGCGGUUGGGAGGUUGUAAAUCCUAGCUGCGGGGAUCUGCACCGCCGAUCGUCAUCGACUCUACUUCCCGAUGCGCUACGAGUCGGUAACGAAAAAGAUCAAACCAUGUAUGCAGUCUCCAUAGUGGUCCUGGGCUGGUGCGUAGGUCGGAAAUUUUUUGUUUUCUGCUGCGUUCCCCUACAGAAAAGCAGCAGCUUCAGACCUUGUUGGGUUAAUUAAUCCUCUCCCACGGGAAGUGGAGAUAAUUGGAGGGUACCGAGGUUUUUCUUAUUGACUUACAACGCUUAAUCCCCCCUCAAUCCCCUUGUUCGUGAAACAACACCCCCAUCAUAAAUCCGAUAAACAACACCCUCUUCAAUUCCUCACUUCAACGAUCUUCAUCUGGAUUGAGAUCUAGUGAGGGUGUAAGUGAGUGAGGUGGUCGGAUCAUCUGCCACACUUCCAAGGAGGGUAUGAGAUAGCUACCUCAUUAUAUAGGAUACCAACUUACCAAGGGAGUGUAUACUUACUGCCUGCAUACUGUAUGAUUGAUACCAUCGUCUUAUAAAAGACCCAACUCUAGCUAGUUUCUUACUAUUCUUCAUUUCACAAAACAGAGCAGCUUAUUUCAGAACGUUUGUUGAGUAGAGAAAACAUCCGCUACAUUUAUUUGUUAUGGCAGUUUAUUUUCUGAAUGUUUGUUGUACUCCUUCUUAGCCAAAGGAUGGUAGCUAGGUACAUAGCAAGGUUAUACUACUCUGCCGCCCUCUAGUCUCUUGAGUAGCAUAUGUCUCUGUCCAGCGUCUCUCCUGCGUCAACACGGCCUCAUGCUGUCUAGGUCCAGUGCCACACGAGUUGUAGUCCGCAAAAAGAAAAAAGGAAAGAAGUUAUGUAUAGCUUCUAUGGCUUGAAACGUAGCUCCACCACUGUUCUACAGUAUUGAGCAACACAACUAAUCAUCCUUGACCAACACGUUAUGUUUUGCAUCAACUACAAAUGAAGAACAUUUGGAUUAAUUUCCAACACACUGAACAACAUAACACAGUUGGUCUACUAUUUUGUUGAAAGCAUACUUCUUAGCUUCACUCGUCACUCCCAAUGCUUCUCUCUUCGAAGAAGUUGCUAUCAAGGGCCCGUGGAUCCCACUUACCUCCUAAAUCUGCAGUACUAAGAGCAUCUCUAGCAGAUCCUCUAAAAGUCCGUCCUCUAAAAUCGGUUUAGGGGAUGUUGUAAAACGUUUUCAUAGCAUAUUUACAGUAUGAUGUGCGUCUCGACAGAAUAGAUCCUGAGUGUGCGUCGCCAGAUGGAGCCCCUGCUCCGUGCGGCAGAGGAAGAGCCCUGCUCCGUGGCCUAUGGUGCACACCACCAGGGGACUCCGUCGCGGGAUUGGCAGCCGCCCGGGGACGCCGUCGCUGGAUUGGCAACCGCCAGGGGACGCCGUGGGUGAACCUCCCUGGAGGGAGCCGACGGGGGAGCGGCGGGGCCGUACGUUGGCGAGGCAUCCGGGGAGCUAGGUGGUCGAGCUGCGUUCUUGUUGGAGCUCCUGGCCACGACGGAGCCAACCACAUCCAUGGCGGAGCUUGCAUGGCCGCCCGAGAGAUGAAUUCAAGGUCCGACAGCCUCGGGAAUGAGACAAGGAAGGGCGGGGCCGGUGGCGCGGGUAGGCGGCGGCGGCGAGAGGUCGCGGCUUCUCUAUUUGGCUGGAGUCGAGCUCGGGAGGUCGUGGCGCCGGCUGCGAGGGGAGCGGUUGGAUCUAAAAUUUCCCUCCCACCAAGGAUAGAGGAUACUGUAAAGUGAAGGUGAAAUCCCGUAGAUAUGACGGACGGGGCGCGAAAUAUACAGGUUCAAAAAAAUUAUGAGAUGUGUCGUUUUACGGGACCUGAUCGGGACAAUUUUUUUUCUCCCAAUCCUAUAAAACGACAGUUAUUUUACGGGAAGAGACGAUAUAAGGGACCUGCUAGAGAUGCUCUAACUCGACCAACCUAACCCAGCUAUACAUGCACCUCUUCCACUACUCCCACGUGCACGUGGCCAUGCAUGCUUUGAAGUUCACACUCUACACAUCACAGUUUUAAUCUCAACAUAUAGGUAUUGUCGAUCAUGACACUAAAAAGAUAGACAUCAAGUUAAUUACAAGUUCAACAAACAUUAAAUUCAUGUUUUUUGGGGCGAGAAUGUAUGUCUUGCUAUCAAUACGAAUGCUGAUGAUUUUCAGAAGGGAGGGCGUUAAGAGAAUUCCAUUAGAAGGACCAAAUGGACUAGUAAGUUGUUGAUGCCAAAUUCGACAAAAAUCAAACUUCUACAUGCCAGAACUAGCAACAUAAUUGCCUAGGAUGUCGCUAGUUCUGGCAUGUAGAAGCAUAUGUUCUGGACUUUGUUGUGGGUCCUAGUUGCAACUCGGAGCUGGGAUGUCCUAGGAGCGUGUGAGUGGCAAGUCCAUAAGAUCUUUGUGGUGGUCUUUUUUUUUGAAAAUAUACAACGGAACCUGGGUCUUAGCACACCCGAAUUGAAGAAAUAUAUUUUAAAAAAUAGUAAAUUUUUUUUGAAUUUUUUUGGUAUAUGGUCUAGCAUAAUACUCACAAUAAAAGUUUCGGGUCAAAAUGAUUUACGCUGUAUUCCUAGCAAAUUACACCAGAACCAAUACUGUAUAAACACUACUCCCUCUGUAAACUAAUAUAAGAGUGUUUAGAUUACUAAAAUAGUGAUCUAAAUGCUCUUAUAUUAGUUUACGGAGGGAGUACUAUUCAUGAUUUUUGUAGCUGCAUCCCGAAACUUUAAACAUGAGUAUUAUAUUAGACCAUGUUUGUCGCAACAAAGUUCCGCAUUUUUCUGAUUUUUUUUUCUUUUUUGCCAAAUCAGGUGCUCCUAGACCCAUGUCCCAAAAAUCCACACUGAUAUUUUUUUCCUAACUCUUCCACAUUGUAUGUUUGGAGGCAAGAGUGGUAGAAUAUAUAUAAUCAUGCAAUUUCCUGGAGCAACUUCUUAGUUAGUGAAUGCCUAGUAGUUUAUUAACUACUAGAAAUUAAAUCCUUAAUAGUAGGCAGGGGUAAGCUUAUCUGGUUACACCGUACGAUGAAAAAAAGGAAAAUAUAUAGUAGAGAAAAUAUGUAAUAGAAAGUUGCCAAAAAUUGUAGUAGACAAAUGAUGGAAAAUGCAGUAGGGCAUAAACAAUAAAACAUUGCAAGGAAGUGCAGCAGGCACUAGUAGAAGUAGAAGGUUAACAAAACGUGCAAUAGACAAUAAGUAAAAGAAUCAUAUGGAAAUACGCUAAAAAGUUACAAAAAAAUCCACAGAGAACACAGUAGAGAUAAAUAUUAGUAGAAAACUGCAAGAAAACACAUUAUAGAAAUUCCAAAAAAGGAGACAGAAAUAUGACCCUUGGAACAUAUACUAGGGAUUAAACUGGUGUGGAUACAUAUGGAUAUUGUUCAUUCCAUUUCCUAAAUCUUAUUUUCUCGAAGUAAGUCAAAACAUGAACAUGUUUGAUAAUGAAUAUGAAUGUGGAUAAUAGUGAUCUCGAGUUUGAAUCAUAAAAUCAUGUGUAUGACAUCAUAUUCAUAUUUGGUUUGAAUAUUCUAAAACAACAAGGGAGUUUGGACGUAGCUUGUGCGUUACCUUUACUGCGAGCAUGAUUUAAUAGACCAUUCACGCCUCUCUGUUCCUAAAGCGGAUAAUAAAUAUGUUUUGCUUGGUGAAGAGUAACGGCCUAAGAUGAUGACCAAUCUGUUUUGAAAAGAUGAAUAAGAGUUAGGCAUGAAUAUAUAAUGGCCGAUCAAUGUUUCGAAUUGCAAAUUUAACAUAUAUAUUAUGAAGAUACAUACAUUACAAAGAUACGUGAUUUCAGUCUUCGGUAGGCUUUGAUGGUUAGUGUGUGCAUGUGUCUGGUGUUGUAUGUGUAUAUGCAUGUCUAUGUUAUACUCUAUUUUUUUAGAAAGAGAUUACUAAAACAAUGUUAAGAAUUUAGGCGAGAUGGAUAGGGUGUUAGAGCAUGUAUAAUUGUUGAUAAGAUGAAUUCUCUUGUGCAUUCAAUUCAUCUAGAGAACAUAAAAAAUUCAUGUUAUGCAGUAGAUUAUCUCUUGCUCCUAAUUAAAUCGUUAAAAGAUCAAAAUCAAACUAGACUAAUAGAAAACAUAAUGUGCAAUGGAGAAAAUGGCUAGCAGAGCAGUAUCAUGAUCAUCUAUAUGUUUUUGCUUACAUUAGUGAUCACGGCUUUUAAACAUUAAUCACACGUGCCUUAUAUUUUCGGGAAGAAGAGAGUACUAUUGAGAUUUGCGAUUGGACCCCUAUACUAGGCAUGCUCCGUUGUGAGUCGCGAUUACCAUUGCAGAUCUAAUGAGAGUNNNNNNNNNNNNNNNNNNNNNNNNNNNNNNNNNNNNNNNNNNNNNNNNNNNNNNNNNNNNNNNNNNNNNNNNNNNNNNNNNNNNNNNNNNNNNNNNNNNNNNNNNNNNNNNNNNNNNNNNNNNNNNNNNNNNNNNNNNNNNNNNNNNNNNNNNNNNNNNNNNNNNNNNNNNNNNNNNNNNNNNNNNNNNNNNNNNNNNNNNNNNNNNNNNNNNNNNNNNNNNNNNNNNNNNNNNNNNNNNNNNNNNNNNNNNNNNNNNNNNNNNNNNNNNNNNNNNNNNNNNNNNNNNNCAUUUUUAAUGUACAUCGACAUAUGAAUGGAUACCAAUCAAGCUAUUAGGAUUUUCGUACAUCUGCUCAUUGUCUCUGAACAUGUGACCAUUAUAUUGUCGGGCUUACUAAACAACUACCUCCUGGUUCAUGAACCCAUACCACAAUAACUCACAAACCUAGCCCAUAUAUACUUCUCUUCACUUCUACAGGGCCAAGCUUGAAGUGACCAAUUUGUCUGCUAGUAUUUUUGUCCAAGCAUAUAGGUGUUGUCCAUCAAAUGGUACUCAAAAGCAGAGAUAUGAGAAGUUAGAAGAGCAAGCUUGAUUUCGUGUCAUUGGUGAGUAUGUGUGUAUGGGAUUAGCGAUGAGUCUGAGAAUGGAAGGCAUCAAGAGUAAUUAUCUCACUCAUACGAACACCAGGGAGCUUUUGGCUACUAGGUGCAACCGAUGGGAGACGAUCGCACGUGUUAUCUACAACCGGUUUGGAUGGCGGUCCAAUAAUAGGAUAGGUGUUUAGUCAUCUAGUCCUUUUUUUGUCGCCGGUUGUGGCUUUAUUUAUAAUCUUUUCCCUUUUGUGCUCCUUUUUGCAAGUUGUACUGAAUUGCAGACUUUGUUUUGUUUGGAUUUUUAAUAAGAUGGCCGCAUGCAUCGUUCUGAUGCAGAUGCCGGGGGAUAUCCUCCUUUUCACAAAGAAGGAGUAAUCAUCUCAGCCCGCUAAAUAAUCUUAGUUGCGACCAGGAGCCACCGUCAAGGUCCAGGAUGCCAUCCUAGAGNNNNNNNNNNNNNNNNNNNNNNNNNNNNNNNNNNNNNNNNNNNNNNNNNNNNNNNNNNNNNNNNNNNNNNNNNNNNNNNNNNNNNNNNNNNNNNNNNNNNNNNNNNNNNNNNNNNNNNNNNNNNNNNNNNNNNNNNNNNNNNNNNNNNNNNNNNNNNNNNNNNNNNNNNNNNNNNNNNNNNNNNNNNNNNNNNNNNNNNNNNNCGAGGUAGCGGAUUUGCCCCGCCGCCACCUUCCUAGGAGCCAGAGCGGGCUUCGACGGCCGCUCCUCCGAUGGAGGUAGGUUCUAGGGUCCCCCAUCACCACCAACGGAGUUCGACACAGGGGAAGAGUUUUCUCUUCCAUUCCCGGUACAUUUGGAUGCUGGCCUAUUGUAAAUUGUGUGGCAUACAUGCAAUUUACAGGGGAACACUACAAUCUGAUGGGGAUAAGCGUUGCCCGCAACAUUGUGAUGCAUCAAAGUCAUAUAUCCGCACAAUUCCUCCCAUCGAAGACACGCACGGCUGGUCGCAUGGCAGCGAGCAGUGAUCCGUGCUGGGACAACAUUUUGCCUGUUCCCUCGGUAAUAAUCCUGCCGGUUUAUUUAAUCAUGAAUUGUUUGGGGGCAUAACCUACUGUAAAUUUUCAAUGUGAGCUUGAUUUAAUAAAACAUGGAGUUCUCCCUACUCCCGACGCAGGUUCCUUAUAAAAUGAUAUAGUUCGAUACAAUUUAGAUGUUGGAAAUGAUUUGCUUAGUGAAGAAUAAUGGCCCAAGAGAUGACGAAUUUUGCUUCAAAAAGGCAUCAUUGCCCGUCGUGUUGCUCCAGGGGAAACUCUGAUCCUCGGGUCGGGCGGUGACAUCGCUCUGGUGUCGUAACCUUCCUGAAGGCGCCGCUUUGGAGCACACGGUUCGUCAUAUGCGGCUUCUUCUCUUCGCGUUGGCGUGUCCACGGUUGAGGACUCCGGUUGCUCUUGUAGUACUAGGGGUAGUGUUGCUGCGCUCAGCGCCUAUGUAUCCAGCCUUGGGUGUGUGCGUGUGUUGUGGUGGUGUGUGUUUGUAUCUGAGCUGUGGUCGGUCAUUGCUUUAUAUAUAAAGCAGGGCGAAAGCCUUUUUCGAUAGAAAAGGCGAGGACACAUUAAGUGUGAGCUUAUGAUGGAAUCAGAGGUUCAAUUGCAGAUUACAAACAGGGGAGUGCGCGUAUUACGAAAGAAGAAGCUAAAUAAAACAAUUUAAAGAUUUAGGACUGAUCAAAAUAGUGUAUGUUAGUUAAGCGACCAUCAGUGGAGGAUGCGAUGCAUGAUUGAUCUUUUUCUUUAGGAUUUGGAUAUUGCAACUUACAAGCGCCACGUCCCGUAAGUCAGUUCAAGCGCGUCCCUGCAUCUAGUCAUCAUGUGCCUCUCUCCUUAGAGCAUCUCCAGCCGUUGCCCCCCACCCCCUUCAGGAGGCAUAAAAAUCGCUGCCUGGGGGCGAGCCGGUGGUAGAAUCGGCUCUGGGGGUGGUUGGCAUCCAGCCGUUGCCCCCAGGUCGCCCCCAUGCGCCGAUAUCGGCCCAUUUCUAGCCGCCUUUCGGCGAAAAAUGGCCCGAUAUCGGCGCGAAUCGGCCCAUAUUCGACGUGGUUCAGCGUGGAUUUUGUGUAACAUAUUCAUCACAUCAAAUCAAUAAAAAUCAAAAUAGUUCAACAAAUAGUACAACAACAAAUAGUUCAAUAUAAAUUAUAUAGUUCAAGCUAGGCGUCGCCCUUGAUCAAUAAAAAUCAAAAUAGUUCAACUCAUAUUUCAUCACACGUCGAGUUACGCGUUGCCCUUGAUCCUCCAUAGGUGCUCCACCAGAUCCUCCUGUAGUUGUUGAUGCACCUGUGGGUCUCGGAUCUCCUGAUGCAUAUUGAGGUAGGCAGUCCAGGUUGUCGGUAGUUGGUGAUCAACUUCGGCUAGAGGACCCUGCCUGUAGUAUGGUUCAGUGUCAAACACUGGCUCUUCCUGCUCGCUCUCGAUGAUCAUGUAAAGCAUCCCCAUCGCUGUCAUGCACUUCUGAAUUGAGGUGAAUCCAAGUUUGCCGGUGCAAUCCAUCUUGCACUUGAAGUAGCUGUCGAACUCCCGGAUGAAAUUCACAAUCUUGAGGAAAAGCUUUCGGCUCAUCCGAUAACGGCGCAAAAAUACUUUGUCGUCGUGCAGUGGCGCCGAAAUACUUUCACGAACGCUUUGCUGUGUGCGUUGAAGAAACGAGCCCUUCGCUUAUUCUUAUACAGUAGAAGAAAAAUAAUCACAUAAGCACUCGAACCAACGCUCUUGCAUUGCAAACACAUACUCCUACACAGGUGCUUCAUCAUUAAAAAAAAUUAUACUACUGCAAGCGCCCAAAUAGGCACCUAUGCAUUGAAGACCCCUCGAGGCAUCAUCCUCCACUGAGUGAAAUGCAUAAAACCAUCACAAUCAUGUCCGAAAAUACAAAAAAUCAUCACAAUUCAAAACGUGACAAAACACAUAGACCGCUGACAGUGCCAAGAAACACUGACGAUAAAUGCUUAUUUCUUCAAUGAGAUUUCUCGCGGGUUGGGCUCGCCAUCAGGCUGAGUUGGCGAAAAAACUGUCACGUGGGCAUUGACUCGGUCUUGUUCUUUCUCCGCCAGCUCUCUACCCCCUCGAGACAUUACAUCAAGCACCUCAUGUGCAUCAUAGAAAGCCACAGGAGAUCCGCCUCGUGCGGCCGCGGCCGCUCCUAAGGCGCCCUUCCUCUCCUCUCGCGUUGCAAUGUAUAUAUAGCACCACAAGCAGCAUCUAGUAGAGCACAUCAGCACAUCACCGAAGAAAAAAGAUACCGAGAUUCAAGCAGGCGCCGCACCGCAGGUCGUGCACUCGUCAGGUUGUUGUCGCUCAGAUUCAGCAGAGUAAGAUUUCCAUACCCGAACAAACACGUCGGUAUUUGCCCACUGAAAUUAUUGUUGGAGAACACCUGUUCCUCCAAAGGCCAAAGCCAUUGGAGGGAGUAGUUGGGUAGGUCUAUAUGGAUUAUUCACAACUAAUGAUGCAGUAACUGACUCAUUUUCUGCAUAAAGUUAUGCACUUUCCACACAUUCACUCGUCAUAUUUACACUAAGAAAGAGUAUCUUCAGGAGUAACCAAACAUGUAGUACAAAUAACUAUAUUCGGGACGAUAAGAUGCAUCGUUGUGGUUCACUACCCAACCAAACAUGCAGUACAAAUAACUAAAUAUGCUGACAGGUGCAUGUGGUCUGAAACCACACAAGUGCAAGUGUGUAUGUGUUUAUAAAUUAUAACCCACACAUCCUAUCUUUCUACCUUCAGGAGACGAUAAACGUUUCAGUAGUGCAUUACUGUGGUUCGUGGAGUGGCCGCUCGCGCAAUUGUCCAGAUUCCCGCAACUUUCUUGGGUACUGUUGGAAUGGAGGGCACCAGAAUGGAUGAUACAUCUAGUGAGAGCAACGAAAGAGAGGGAUGAAGCAUGGCAUGGUUCAUUCCCCAUUCUCCUUCUAACUACAUAAGCUGAUGAUGAGGAGCGGAACAAGCACCCAGCGACCCUGAAAAGCUGCCCAGUCCUUCCCACAUGGUUCCAAGAACGAGCAAUCAGUAAACUUCCUGCUGAUGCUGCAUGGGUUAACAUUUGACAAAGCAUAGGCUUUCAUACACCCCCUUAUUUAGCCAUUCAUUUCUGCAUCAAGAUUUGUGCGAGUACUUUUGUCUUUUUUGUUUCUUCCAAAUAAAACAACAUAUAAACUUCAAUCUUUUGGAGGACAACAAAACAUUCUAACUAGAAUAUUGGAAAAAACUUUCAGAUUUUUUUGUGAAACAUAUAUACUAAAACUAAUACUUUUUAUCUAAAAAAAAUCUCAUUUUGUAUAUUUAUGUCGUAUCAAAAAAUCUGAAAGUUUUUUCCCACAUUGUAGUAAGAAUGUUUUGUGGUCCUGCGAAGUUUGAAGUUCAUAUAUUGUUUUAUUUUGAAGAAACAAAAAAGAGAAAUUUUCAUGUAAGAAGUUAGUUGUGUAGCACAGAUCUUAAAGCAACAUUGUAGGGUAUGGAUAAGAGGUGUCCGGAAGCCUGAGCUUUAUAAAUCCGCAUUCAUGCUGCAUGCUUGCUUUUAUGAAUUACUAAUCAAUCAUUGCUCUAUUUAACUGUGUCUCUAACCUCUCUUGGCUAUUUGGAUGUGACGGUUGUGCCCUGUGUAAAGCAGGCCAUUAGCUUUUCUAUGUCUAUCACAAUGAUGUGCGCACUUGCGUGGACAAGAUCUUUAAUAUUGUCCAAAACUUACAAAGAAAUUUCAUAUAGAUAUUUAAUAUUAUGAACUUCGGGUACAGCGCGAACAGAAGAUAACAAAUUUUAUCAGGAGUGCAUGUACAUGAUUCCUUCUUUUCUUACAUUUUUUCUUGGAACCAAGUUCACAACCUAUGAAAGCCACGGGAGGGAGAUAGAGAAAUGUCACAAUUGUGUGGAUAGAAUAUCUAGUUAUGACUUCCAGAAAGUUAAUCCUGUAAAAAUAAGUAAUUGCAAAAGUUCUGGUUCAACCUUGAUGUGUGUGUGUGUGUGUGUGUGUGUGUGUGUGUGUGUGUGUUUGUGUGUGUGUAUUCAUUUCAUAUGUAAGUACAAUCGCCAUGGUGGGUUUUCUCUCUCAAUUUUUGCAGGUUGUUUGCUGAUAUGAUAUUUUCUUCGAGAGAAAUUUACUUCUCAAUCACUAUCAUGUUUCAACUGCUUUUCCAUGUUUUUUGGCCAACUGCUAUAUAUUAACAUGCUAUAUGAGGCUCCGCCUUCUCUUCAAGGAAUUUCUAUUCCCGGUUCUCGAUCAAGUGUUGGAAAGACCUGAAUAUGAUGUUAUCUACUCCCUCCGUCCCGAUUUAAUUGUCUUAGAUUUGUCUAGAUACAUCAUUUUAGUGUUACAUACAUCCGUAUCUAAACAAAUCUAAGACAAGUAAUUUGGGACGGAGGUAAUACAUCAGAAGUACGGUUGCCCUGAAGCCAGUCUAAUGGUAGAAUUUUUCUUCCCAGCACCUUCUGUUUUCAAAGCUCAGUAGUUUACUCAUAUAUCCUUGAAGUUAAGCAUAUAUGCCUAUUUUUCUCUGUCUGCACAAUAUUGAGUGUAGUUCAUAAUUGAGUGACUGAGAGAGGUAUUUGUACGUAUAUAUAGAAUGACUUUGAUAGAGUCAAGAAGGUGACCGUGAGAUAAUUGAGUGAAUGGAGACGCAUAUGUUUUUUUUCUGAAAAAAAGGAGACUCUGCAUCAAGCGAGGCACACAUCCAUUUGUUUAAACGAAUAGAGUACCAAGGUACGAAUAUCAUCUCAGAUACAUAGAAAAAAAAUCAAAGAAGCAAACAAAUAGUUACAGCCGGCAAAAAUAUGACACAAUGAUUAAACACCCAUCCUAUUAUUGGAACGUUAUCUAGACCGGUUGUAUGUAGCCCUAGCUAUCAUUUCCCAUCGGUUGCAUCCAAAGGCCAUAUGCUCCCUCACUUAUGACCACAUACAGAUCCAUCCAAACGCCCGAUCGAUAACCCGCAAAAAAUGUGAUAUUUUUCAUGUUAAAUACAAGGGCAUUUUGACAUUUCAAAAUAGCCCAAAGUAAUUCACAAACUCCGACAUGAAUUCGUAUCGUUGUAUUAGACUCAACCCACCUAACCAGUUACGGAACAGAUUGGAGAUACUAUUAGGUGGAGAUACAUUAAAGGACACAUGUAUUGUUCGCCACAUAACUUGGCUAGUGAGCAUGUGAGAGAGAUGCAUUUCCACGUGAUCACAAAAAUAACAUCGUUUACUCCUCUCCCAUCUACUUUUGCGAAAUUAUCCUUAGUCCGAAUCACUCCCUUAUGCACAAACUACAUAAAAAUCUUGAUUUUAAAGGCACAUUUAUUUUUUUAUAUGAAUAAUCGAGAGAUUGGUCUAUUAUUAAUCAAGUCCACAUACAUAGAUUUGAUUGAGAACAUGCCUGAAACUGAAAGUUUUCAUGGGAAUACAUUUGGCUCAUUAGAUAGGUUGACCUUCAUCAACAUAUGCACUAGAUGCAGCCAUGUACCCCAUCGUUCCCAAACUAGUGUGAUUUGAAUGUUUAAGGGAACCAAACCUAGUAUUGUAUACUUGUAAAUGCAUCUUUACGUUGUACAAUAUUAUGAAGCAUUGGAUAGUAGUAUAAAGCUAGAGGCAUCUCCCCCUACCAAGUGUCCUUCCAGAAUGCGCCUAUUCCCGGUGAUAAAUUUACUCCUUUUCAAGAAAGCGACCUUAGUUCUCAUCAACCCCUUCAAAAAGGGAGAAUCAUUCCAUCGUAAUUUGUGCUAAGUUUUUGGAAUGCACAUAUUUGUUACACAACAGCUGUAGCCACAACCCUUCCUCCUCCGAAAAGAGACAAUCUAACCAUUUUCUAAGCAGACAAUUAUUCUUUACUUCAAUAUUUUCAAUCCCCAAACCUCCUUCAUCUUUAGGUGUACAUAAUAUGUCCCGACUUAAGCAGUUUGUAUUUUAUUUUAUUCUCAGCACUUUGCCAAAAAAAUCGCAAUCGAUAAAAGUCCAAUUUUUUUCAUACCCUUAUGGGUAUUCCAAAGAAAGAUAACAUGGAUAUUGGCAUGCUCGUAAGCACAUAAUUAAUAAGAAUGAAUCGACCCCCGUAAGACAUAAAGUUGCCCUUCCAACAACUUAGCUUCUUCUCAAAUCGAUGCUCAAUGUAUUUUUCAUUCUUUAUUGGUCAACUUUCGGUGCUAAAUUGGGAUCCCAAGAUAACUUGAAGGAAGGGAUCCAAUUCCACAACCGAACAACUGUUUGUACUUUUCAUGUUCCUUCUUAGUGCACCCAAAGCAGAACAGUUAACUUUUAUGAAAUUUAUUUUCAGCCCGGAUAGUUGUUCAAAAAGGCAUAAAACCAGCUUCAUAUUUCUUGCUUUGGUCAUGUCAUGCUCCACUAAAAUUAUUGUAUCAUCAAAAGUAUGGACAUGCCCCAAUGUAUAUGUAUGUAUAUAUGUAGAGGAGUGCAUGGAGGUCUCAUAAAAGGAGCUAUUAAUAUUGCUGGUACAAUUACAAAUCAAAGGACAUAGCUAAUAGCCUAGCACCCACCUUCUCAGUGCCACAAAACAAGUGUAGGUAGUACUACCUCCAUCCUAGUACAUUGGUCCCCUUCGUAUUUUUUGUCAAAUUUUAAUCAUAGAUUUAACUAACAAAAUGUUUAAUGCAUGUCAAGAAAAAUUACGUCGUUGGAUUCGUCUUUGAACAUAGUUUCCGUUCCGAUGACAUUAUUUUUGCUAUGUAUAAAUUAUAUUUUAUUAUUUAAAAUCAUGGUUAAAAUAUGACUCUAAAUACGAGGAAGACUAAUAAAUCAGGACGGAUAAAGUAUGUGUCUUCAAGAAACCAAAUUAAUGCAUAUAAUCCAGAAAUUUGUAUAUGCCUUGACAGGAGAAGGGAGUUCAUGUGAUUAAGAGUAGGAAAGAGUAUCUUCCAUAACCAAACACACAGUGCAAACAAAUGAAUUGUCCUGACAGGUGCAUGUGCCCUCAAAACUACAAAAGUGUGCAUUUGUGUUUAUGAAUUGGAAAAGGUUAGGUUGAACCUAGGCUAUAAAUUGUAACCCAGAUAUCCCAUCUUUGUGUACCUUGGAAGAUGAUAAGCCUUUCGUAGUGCAUCGUUGUGGCUCACUGGACGUGGGCAUGCUUGACCAAGAACUUUCGAGAAUAUUGUUGGAAUAGAGGGCAUCAGAAUGAGUGAUACAUCUGUUUUGAGCCAAGAAAGAGCUAGAGAGCGGCUUGGUUUAUCCUUUGUUCUCAUCAUAACUACAAGAACUUAUGAUCAAUGGCAGAGCCAGUAUCCGGCGACCCUGGGAAACAUCUCGCCAGCCUGGCCUCGCCUACAUGGCUCCAUAAAAGAGCACUGACGUCGUCAUGGGAUAACUAACGUUACCCAGUCUAGUUUGCCUAGGCAAUGACUUUGUGGCCUUUGCUUCGUGGCUCUAUCAACGCAAUUUAGUCGGUCCCGCCCCUCUUGUCCUUCCUCGACUGUACAUCAAAGUGCAAGCAAAAUUUCAAUCUCGAUGAGAUGGCUCAUGGUUAUUUCAUCAUAAGAAGCAACGACCACCCUGCAGCAUCUCCUAAUGAACUGGAGUAGUGCUUGCAUAUCCUACACACAUUUCUUUUUAUAACGAAUAUAUAAAGAUCAGAGGAAAUCAAUUCUACAAUUCCGUUACAAUGUAUUUAUCAAGUAUAUUAAAUAUGAGCUUGCACACUUGCACUUGCUUUACUUACAUUGUGCCACUAUAUUUUUACCAAAUCUAUGAAGUAUCACUAAGUUUUUUUUUGAAUAGUUUGGAUUGCUUACCACUAGUAUCACUAUGUUUAUGCACGCGGACACACCUAUACACCUUGGUUCAAUUAUUGGAAGUAGCACUUGCUUUCUAGGCACCGACACACACAUACAUCUUAAUGUUUUAGAAGGCACUUGUGGCCUGAAAACUUGGCACAGAUAUGUGCAUUUUUACCACUCAACUUCGAUAUUACAAAAAAACGGUCAUGAAGUUGGUGUUGAUGUUUGCUUUUAUGAAUUACUAGGCCCUGUUUAUUUGGGCUUUUGCUUCUGCUUUUUGCAGUUUUUUCACUUUGGCCAAAAAACCACAAAAGUUUCUAAAUAGGGCCUUUUUUCUUCAGCUUUUGGCUUACGAAUCAAUAUUGUUAUAUGAUAGUAUAAGCCAAAAUCUGAAGCAAAAAAGCACAUAUUUAGGAGCUUCUUUGCCAAGUGGAAAAGCUCCAAAAGCAAAAGGAAAAGCCCAAACAAACAGGGCCCUAAUCAGUCAUUGGUGUACGCGUCUAUCUAUGAGACUGAUGGAGUGUCUCUUGGGCGCGAUGAAUGGUAGGAUAUAUUUUCCAAUUAUGCAAAAAUUUAUUUUACAUUGUAUAAUUUUUUUAAAUGUCACUAACAUAUUUUUUGAAACACGUAAAUGUUUUUUCAAAUUUCACAUACUUUUUUAUCAGUAAUAAAUAUUUUUUAAAAUUACAUGGACAUUUCGAAAUUGUAUAAACUUGUUUUUAAAUAUCACUAAUAUCUUUUUUCUAAUUCAUUUUUUGAAUAGUACAAACAUUUUCUAAAAUUUGCGCAAACAAAUUUUUUAAAUGUUCGGUGAACGUUUUUUAAAAUUUAACUAAUUUAAUGUUUGAAAUAUAUAUAUAUAUAUAUUCAAAAUAUUUUGAAAAAAAUCUUUUUGUACUUAUGCAUGUAAAAAGGGCCCCAUCAACAUCAAUUCUCCCUUGUGAUGACAUUGGUAUUAGGACUGAAGAUACUUGACUUAGCAUUACUCACGAUCUAUGCCGAGCAGAACAAUAUAUCUCAAUCACCCUUUUUAGAGUGUUUGCAUUUUGUGUGUAUGCUUUUAUCGAGAUAAGGGAGUCAUCCGCAAAUAACAAAUGUGAGAUCGAAGGAGCAUUACGACAUACCCGAAUUCCCUCUAUAUCUCCAACCUCUUCUUCAUGUGACAAGAGACUGGACAAGCCUUCAGAACAUAGCAGAAAUAAGUAGGGGGACAAGGGAUCCCCCUGUCUCAAUCCUCUUGUGGGGGUGAAAUCCUCCGUUUCUGUAUUAUUAAACCUAACUCUAUGCGUAACCGAGGAAACACAUUCCAUGAUCAUGUUCACCCAGAGCUCAUGAAAUACCAUUCUCAGCAUCACCUUUUCCAUGAAACCCCACUCAACGCGAUCAUAAGCUUUGUUCAUGUCCGACUUCACGGCACAAUAACCAUUAGACCCGUGGGUCCUUUUUCUUUAUUGCAUGGAAGCAUUCAUAGGCCACAAGUAUUGUCCGUAAUAAGCCCACCCGGCACGAAAGCGCUCUGAAUAGUAGAAAAAGGGGCUUUUACCCCGGUUCGUAAAGGCCUUUUGUCCCGGUUUUCAAACUGGGACUAAAGGGUCGUUACUAAUGCCCUAACCCUUUAGUCCCGGUUCUUACACGAACCGGGACAGAAGGUCCUCCACGUGGCCGCUGCUGCCAGCCCAGGCAGGGGGGCCUUUGGUCCCGGUUGGUGACACCAACCGGGACCAAUAGGCAUCCACACGUCAGCAGCUGGCAGGAGCUGAGGUUUUUUUUUUGAAAGGGGGUGGUUUAGGGGUUUUGGGGGGUUAAUUUAGGUGUUUCAUAUAUUGUGUUAGCUAGCUAAUUAAUAGAGAGAAGUGUCCUCUCUUAUCUCCGUGCUUGGUCGACGCUACGUACUAUAUACGUAUGGAGAGGAGUAGACACGCUAGCUAGUAAUCAAAUGAAGGAAACAGAAAAUCGUCAUGAACAUAUGCAUACAGAGAGAAGUGAUAUCGACCACCUCUCCUUCUCCGAGAUAUUGGUCGAACAACAAGUUCUCGUAUAUCUGUCCGACACUACCGGCUACAUAUAUACAAUAAUUAUCUCUUACAAUAGAAUCUCCUAAUUAAAUUGUAGGAACACAGGGUCCACAUAGUAUUCUCCGUUUUCAGCGAUCACGUGGUCAAGGAAGAAUGCCGCCAAUUCCUCUUGAAUUCCUCGCAUACGAUCUGGUGCUAGGAGUUCAUCCCGCUUCCGAAACAUCUAAUUUGAAGAAGGGGGUCAAUACAUAUAUAUAUGAAUAAAUGAAACUCAACACAAAUGAUGGUAAUAAAAUAAAAUUGUGAAUAUUAUUGCUUACGCACUUCAUAUUGUUCUUCUGUGUAGCCCCGCUCACAGGUCGUGUAGCGGAUGGACUCGCAAACGUAGUAUCCACAGUAAUUAUUCCCGGGUUCCUGCCACAACCACUUUACAAGAAAUAGAGGUCAAUCAAACUGAUAAGCAAGCAUGUUAAAUGGUAUUGAUGAAACUAGCACUUGAAUCACUAGGAGAUGCGCGGAACAUGCUACUAUAGUACUUACUUUCGGGUGAUUAAAUUGCAGCUUCUUCGGCAGUCCCGGAGCUUUUGAGGUGAAUUUUCUCCAAACCCUGCCAGACAAAGAAAACAAUUACUUGAUAUCAGGAAAUGAACAAAGUUGCUGAUAUGGUGGAUAAUGAUCGAUUUAACUUACUUCUCGAGCAUUUGAGUCAUGUUCGCAUAGUCCUGGGGAUCUUUUCGUCUCGAGUCUAAGACGGUUACUACUCCCUGCUCAAGCUUAAUCUCUAGGAGAAUAUAGUGGAAGCUGCGCAUGCAUGCAUAAGUCAUCAAUUACAUUACCAUAACCUGGACUAAUAAGGGAAACCGAAUAUGCACAAGACAGUAACACUCACUUGAAGUUGUAAGGAAAGAGUAUUAUAUCUUUGUUUUGAUUUAAUACCAACGAUUGUAGCAAGUUGGCCUCGGCUUCUUUGGGAUAUUUUUCAACCGUAUAUGCAUCUAUGAGAUUUGUGUUAAUGAACCCAAUAUCACCGAUUUGUCUUUUCUUCAAUUCGGCGAUCUUCAAUCUGCAUAAUAUAGUGAGGAUAAGUAUAAAUACAUGCAAUGAAAGAGCUGACCUAUAUAGAGAGACUUAAUGACAGAAGUAGUACUACUUACAGACAGUAGCAAGUGAUCGUUGUUUUAUCGAGGGCCUUUUGAUUGUAAAACUGGAAGAAAUCCUCAAAUGGAACAUUCAGCAGAUCAAUUCCAACGAGGUCAUGCUCCGGUUUAACUCUCAGCGUCAAAGUAUCCAUCCCAUCAGACUCUCUGCAGGUUUUCAUGUACCAAUCAUGUAGUCUUCGCAUCAUCGUUGAUAGAGAUCUUUCAUCUUUGACGAGAGGCUUCCCGUAAUGGUAUUUGUGUUCGUCCACCUCCAUGAUUUCAUAAUGUACAUCGUCGGGCAGGUAAUCUCCAAGAUUGCUAUAACCGGGCACCAUACUCGGAUCAUUAGCGACGAUGUCUUUUGACACCUUGAGCGGGGGGCACGAUUGGUUCGCUUGUUCGCCGAGCUGGGCAAUUUUUUUCCUAGCUCGUCGUUCUUUUAACCUUUUAUCACUGACAGUACUUCCCGACCGCUCCGCUUCGGCAUAUGUCUUCGCAAGAAUGCGCUCAUAGUUGCCUCUCGGCGGAGACUUUGGUGGUUUUCUUAGGGCAGCCAGAGUGCGCUUUGCUUUCACCGGAUCUACCUUCUCCUCCGGAGGUGGAUGUUUCUUUGCUUUCACCCCUUCAAAGAAGUUUGUCACUUCGGCUCGCACGAUCUUCCUGGUUUCCUCCUCGGUCCUCUCGUAUGGUAACUUCUCUGGAGUCUUCAGAGAAGGACCGAAUCUGUAUUGCCUCCCGCCUCUGGCAGUUGUACUGCUAGACACCGGCAGAGCAGACGGAGCGGCUGCGGCUGUCUUCUUUCCUUGCUUACGAGGCGGAGGAGAAGGACUACGACGCGCCGGAGCAGCCGCAGCGGCGGCGGGUCUCUUCCGCCCUUGCUGACGAGGCGGAGAAGGAGGAGGCUGGCUGCUCUGGCGCGCCGGCGCUGGCGGAGAAGGAGGCGGAGUGCCGCCACGCGCCGGAGAAGGAGGCUGAGUGCCCUGAUCACUCGGCGGAGGAGGAGGCGGAGGAGGAGGCGGAGUGCCCUUACUCGCCGGAGCCGUCUAGUUCGGAAGCUUGAUGAGCUCCUUCCGCCAUAGGCAUGGAGUCUUCAGAGCAGAACCCAGCCGAGUCUCCCCUUCACCCGUAGGGUGGUCAAGCUGGAGCUCCUCAAAUCCCUCCGUUAUUUCAUCCACCAUCACCCUAGCAUAUCCUUCUGGAAUCGGCCGACAGUGGUAGGUGGCGCCGGGUUCAGGAGGUAAAACAGAGCCAACAGCUGCCUUGACUUUGAAGUUCUGCCAUUCCGCCAUAAGGUGGCAAUGUUGAGACUCCGUGAUAGCAUCCACGGGUAGCUAGCAGGAGCCGCAUGCUCCAGCUGAAGCAGCUCGGUGGAAGCCACGCUGCUUCUCCGCUGAGAUGGCGGUGUAGCUUCAGGGGCAGUUUCGGCAUGUCGAUUGCCGUCUCGUUCCUCUAGUGCUUGAACCCUUUCGUGCAGCUUCUGAAUUUGGAUCUGCUCCACUUUUUUCCUCCUCUCCUGGCUUUUGUAACCGCCUGCGUCCGGAAAACCAGCCUUCCACGGAACGGAGCCUGGCGUGCCUCGUGUCCGUCCAGGGUGCUCAGGAUUCCCGAGGGCCAUUGUGAGCUCGUCGUUCUCUCUGUCUGGAACGAACGUCCCUUGCUGCGCUGCAUCGAUAUAUUCUGAAUCUUCUUGACUGGUAUUCUCAAAAGCUCGUUCGUCCAAACGCACCUCCCUGAUACAGGGUCCAAGGUUCCGCCAGCCCCGAAGAACCAAGUCCGGCAACGGUCUGUCCAGUUCAUUGUCUGUGGUUCGAUCCCUUUUUCAAGAAGAUCAUUCUCAGCCUUGGCCCAUUUAGGUCGGGCUUUGAGGUAGCCACCUGACCCCGUGCGAUGGUGAAGCUUCUUCUUUGCAGCAUUCUUCUUGUUUGUCGCUGACAUCUUCUUACUCUUUUCCGAUGUCUUGUGGGCCACAAAUGCGGGCCAGUGAUCUCUGAUCUUCUCAUACCGGCCGAUGAAUUCUGGUGUCUCUUCUUUGUCGACAAACAUUUUCAGCUCAUUCUUCCACCUCCUGAAUAGGUCUGCCAUCUUCUUAAGAGCAUGAGACUUGAUUAAUUGCUCUAUAACUGGCUUCUCCGGAUCCUCCUCUGGCGGUAGGGUGAAAUUUGCCUUCAGCUCAGUCCAAAGAUCAUCUUUCUGCAUAUCAUUGACAUAAGACACCUCAGGGUCUUCCUUCUUAGGCUUAUACCAUUGCUGGAUGCUGAUCGGGAUCUUGUCCCUAACUAGAACCCCGCACUGAGCAGCAAAUGCAUCCUUUGUCCGGAUGGGUUCAAUCGGUUGGCCGUCGCGUGCGAUUGCUGUGAUCUCAAACCUUUCAUCCGAGCGCAACUUUCUCUUCGGGCCUCGUCUCUUUACUGAAGUUGUGCUCGAUCCGGAGGGCUAAAAAAAAGAAGAAAGACGAGUGUUAAUUAAUAUGUGUACAUACCAAAACAAUGAAUGCAUCAAUUAGCUAGUCAGCACAGGCUUAACUAAUAUAUUUACCUGGCCGGACUCUGUUCGGUCACCGGAGCCGUCACCACGGGCUCCUUCUUGCACCAGCAUUGGGUCACCGGAGCCAUCAUAAUCAUGUCUUUCCUCCUCCACUCUUCGAUCACCGUAGCCUGCUUCUUCACCCUGUUCUUCCAGACCAUCAUUGUCGUUAAGAUACGACAAGAUAUCACCUCCGGCUAACAUUAUGUCCCCCAACACCUCUUCUGCUUGCUCGUCUCGUCCGUGCUCCAUUGUUUCUGCAAAUAUUACAACAUGGCAAUUAUUACACAAACAUGACAGCAGGUGGAUAUAUUAGUGCAAACGUAGACCUAGCUUAUUCCGGGUUUGGGGUGGCCUAGGCAACGCUUCAAGGGUAGGGGCACGGCGGGAGGGGGUAGGAGACCGACAUCGUUUUUUUCUAGGGUUUGGGUGUCCUCGAGAGUUUUGGUCGAGCGAGAGGGCCGGGGGGUGCUCCCGUGGUAUAAGUUAUCACGGUCGAGAGGGGGUAUAAAUAUCGACCUUCCAUCAUGUCGAAGUUAUCUGGGAGGGAGUUAUAUAUAUCGACAACGACGACAUACAUACAUGGGAAAAUAAUGUUAUCGGGGACGGGGUAUAUCGACCCCCCCACGUGUUGAAGUUAACGGGAGGGGGUUAUAUGGACAAUGACGACAUACGUACAUGGGAAAAUAAUAUUAUCGGCGGGGAGGGGGUAUAUCGACCCCCCCUCGUGUUGAAGUUAUCGGGAGAGGGGUAUAUCGACGACGACAGACCCGAUAAAACAUAAGAAAACGAAGAAGAAAUAAAAAGAGGAGAAGAAGAAAAGGAAUAGAGGAGAAGAUCGAAGAAAAAAAGAAAAAAAAAAGAGGAGAAGAAGAAAGGAAUAGAGGAGAGAAGAAGAAAAAAUAGAAUUCUUCUAUUCCUUUCUUCUUCUCCUCUUCUUUUUCUUCUUUUUUCCUCUUCUUAUUUAUUUCUCCUCUUCUUCCUCUCCUCUUCUUCUCCUUUCUUCCUCUUCUUAUUUUCCUUUUUCCUCUCCUUCUUUUUCUUCUUCUUCCUUUACUAGCUAGAUAUAUAAAACUUUUCUAAAAAUGUAACUUUUGCAUAUAUAAAACUUUUCCAUGGAUCAUCAUUUCUCAUAUAUAUCCAUCUAUAGCCACAUACAUAUAUAAAUGGAAAAAAAAUGCUAUGAACAAAAAUACAUAUAUACUUGGUAAAUAUUCUAUGAACAUCGUUUCUCAUAUAUAUCAAUGCAUACAUCCAUGGAUCAUCAUUGCUCAUAUAUCCAUAGUCAUAUAUAAAAACUUUCUGUAUAUGAACAAAAAAACAUUUUUUGACAUAUUUAGCACAUUCUAAAUUUUCCUAACUCUUUUACAACCACAAAAAUUACUCCAACUUCAUGACAGUACCCACACUCCAUUUCACCAAAAACCUUCUGAUCCAUAGUUCAAAAUUUUCAAAUUCCAUUCAAAUGAAAUUUGAACCAGAUUCAAAUUCCUUGCUGAAAACCUAUUCUAAACCANNNNNNNNNNNNNNNNNNNNNNNNNNNNNNNNNNNNNNNNNNNNNNNNNNNNNNNNNNNNNNNNNNNNNNNNNNNNNNNNNNNNNNNNNNNNNNNNNNNNNNNNNNNNNNNNNNNNNNNNNNNNNNNNNNNNNNNNNNNNNNNNNNNNNNNNNNNNNNNNNNNNNNNNNNNNNNNNNNNNNNNNNNNNNNNNNNNNNNNNNNNNNNNNNNNNNNNNNNNNNNNNNNNNNNNNNNNNNNNNNNNNNNNNNNNNNNNNNNNNNNNNNNNNNNNNNNNNNNNNNNNNNNNNNNNNNNNNNNNNNNNNNNNNNNNNNNNNNNNNNNNNNNNNNNNNNNNNNNNNNNNNNNNNNNNNNNNNNNNNNNNNNNNNNNNNNNNNNNNNNNNNNNNNNNNNNNNNNNNNNNNNNNNNNNNNNNNNNNNNNNNNNNNNNNNNNNNNNNNNNNNNNNNNNNNNNNNNNNNNNNNNNNNNNNNNNNNNNNNNNNNNNNNNNNNNNNNNNNNNNNNNNNNNNNNNNNNNNNNNNNNNNNNNNNNNNNNNNNNNNNNNNNNNNNNNNNNNNNNNNNNNNNNNNNNNNNNNNNNNNNNNNNNNNNNNNNNNNNNNNNNNNNNNNNNNNNNNNNNNNNNNNNNNNNNNNNNNNNNNNNNNNNNNNNNNNNNNNNNNNNNNNNNNNNNNNNNNNNNNNNNNNNNNNNNNNNNNNNNNNNNNNNNNNNNNNNNNNNNNNNNNNNNNNNNNNNNNNNNNNNNNNNNNNNNNNNNNNNNNNNNNNNNNNNNNNNNNNNNNNNNNNNNNNNNNNNNNNNNNNNNNNNNNNNNNNNNNNNNNNNNNNNNNNNNNNNNNNNNNNNNNNNNNNNNNNNNNNNNNNNNNNNNNNNNNNNNNNNNNNNNNNNNNNNNNNNNNNNNNNNNNNNNNNNNNNNNNNNNNNNNNNNNNNNNNNNNNNNNNNNNNNNNNNNNNNNNNNNNNNNNNNNNNNNNNNNNNNNNNNNNNNNNNNNNNNNNNNNNNNNNNNNNNNNNNNNNNNNNNNNNNNNNNNNNNNNNNNNNNNNNNNNNNNNNNNNNNNNNNNNNNNNNNNNNNNNNNNNNNNNNNNNNNNNNNNNNNNNNNNNNNNNNNNNNNNNNNNNNNNNNNNNNNNNNNNNNNNNNNNNNNNNNNNNNNNNNNNNNNNNNNNNNNNNNNNNNNNNNNNNNNNNNNNNNNNNNNNNNNNNNNNNNNNNNNNNNNNNNNNNNNNNNNNNNNNNNNNNNNNNNNNNNNNNNNNNNNNNNNNNNNNNNNNNNNNNNNNNNNNNNNNNNNNNNNNNNNNNNNNNNNNNNNNNNNNNNNNNNNNNNNNNNNNNNNNCGGGACUAAAGGGGGGGCAUUGGCCCCGGUUGGUGGCACGAACCGGUACCAAUGCACCCCUUUAGUCCCGGUUGGUGGCACCAACCGGGACCAAAGGCCUCUUGCUGCCCGCGUCGCGGCCAAAAGUUUAGUCCCACCUCGCUAGUUGAGAGGGGCUCGGAGUGGUUUAUAAGCCCCGCUGCGGCUGCUGUCUCGAACUCCUCUCUAUAGCAGGCUUCUGGGCCUAACUUUGGCGCGCUGCCCGUUGAGCCCUCUAGCCCUGUAUUUGCAAACCCGAGGGUUGGAGGGCCCAGCGUGCAGCGCCCCAACAAUUUUUUUUGCUGUCCGCAUCAGUUUAAAUGCCGCGGCACGGCUGCUGUUUCGAACUCCUCUCUAUAGCAGGCUUCUGGGCCUAACUUUGGCGCGCUGCCCGUUUAGCCUCCUAGCCCUUCUGGGCCUGUAUUUGCAAACCUGAGGGUUGGAAGGCUAAGCGGGCAGCGCCCCAACAUUUUUUUUGCUGUAUUUAGUUUUUUUGUUUUCUUUUUUGCUUUAUUUAUUUUGUUUUGUUUCUACUUACAACAAAAAACUUAUUUAUUUUAUUUUAUUUUGUUUCUAAUUAAUUAUUUAUUUUACUUUAUGAUAAUUCUUUUUGCUAUUAAAGUUUCUAUCAAAAAAAGUUCUUUAUGAAUUUGUUUUGCUGUAUUUAGUUUUUUUGUUUUCUUUUUUGNNNNNNNNNNCUAUUAAAGUUUCUAUCAAAAAAAGUUCUUUAUGAAAAUUCUUUUUGCUUUUAAUGAUUUUGAACAGAAAAUACUUCGAUAAUUUUAGUUGCAUCAAUUUUAUAUGAUUUUAGUUUCAAUAAUAAUAGAGGUUUCUUAUAAUGUUUUGAACAGAAAAUACUUUGUUAAUUUUAGUUUCAUAAAUUUUAUUAAAGUUUAUUUUAUUUUGUCGGAACACAAGAAGUCCGGAGUUGUAAUAAGUUAUUAAAAAUAAAAAAGAGGCGCAAUGCUCGUUGAUUUGCUUCAAGCCUUUCGGAAUAGUGUAGACUGCACUGCACAUAGCUCCAUGCAGUCUACCUUAUUCCUCAAGGCUUGAAGCUAAGCAACGUGAGCAUUGCGCCUCUUCUUCAUCGUCUCUGCACUCAGGGCUUAUAAACCCCUCGUAGUGCCUCUCAGCUAGCGAGGUGGGACUAAAAAACUGCUUAGUAAGAAACUCUAGUACCGGUUCGUGCCACGAACCGGUACUAAAGGUGCUCGUGGGGCCACAGCCUCAUUAGUACCGGUUCGUGGCACCAACAGGGACUAAAGGGUGGAAUUGGUCCCGGUUCGUGCCACCAACCGGGACCAAUGGCCUUGCACAGCGGCGUGGUGGUGAGUUUAGUCCCACCUCGCUAGCUGAGAGAGAGCCGCACCUGUUUAUAAGGUGCGGUGCGCCUGAGCUGUCGAGCUCCUCUCUAAAGCAGGCUUACGGGCCUAACCUCUCUGUACAUGCCUGUGGGCCUACUGGGCCUUCUGCGGGCCUGAAUCCUGGCCCAUGGAUGGGUUUCUAAUCGUAUUCAGGCCGUGGUGGCCCAGUAGGUGGCAUAAUUUUUAAUUUUUGGCCUGUUAUUUUUCAUGCAUUUACUAAUUAUUUUGAGCUAUAAGACCCUAAAAUUGAAAAGCAUUUCAAAUGAACUCUGAGAAGGUUGAAAGUUGGCAUGGUAUCAUCAUUUCAUCCACAUAGCAUGUGCAAGAAAGUUGAGAGGGUUACGGCAAAAACUAGAUGCACUUCUUGUACAAAACAGACAAUGGUAUCAUACUCGUCUAUUACAAAGUUGGCAUGGUAUCAUCAUAAUAGUUGCGGGAGAAAGUCUUCACUUUUUCUUCGCUUGUGUCAUUUGCUUAUUGCGCCGUAACCAUGGAUAAUCUUCAUCGUUUAUCAGGAUGCUUGGGUCAGCCUUGACUUUGAAGGGAGGAAUUUCAUGAAACUUUUCAUAAUCUUCAGACAUGUCUGUCUUGCCCUCCACUCCCACAAUGUCCCUUUUUCCUGAAAGAACUAUGUGGCGCUUUGGCUCAUCGUAUGAUGUAUUCGCUUCCUUAUCUUUUCUUUUCCUCGGUCUGGUAGACAUGUCCUUCACAUAGAUAACUUGUGCCACAUCAUUGGCUAGGACGAACGGUUCGUCAGUGUACCCAAGAUUGUUCAGAUCCACUGUUGUCAUUCCGUACUGUGGGUCUACCUGUACCCCGCCUCCUGACAGAUUGACCCAUUUGCACUUAAACAAAGGGACCUUAAAAUCAUGUCCGUAGUCAAGUUCCCAUAUGUCCAUUAUGUAACCAUAAUAUGUGUCCUUUCCCCUCUCGGUUGCUGCAUCAAAGCGGACACCGCUGUUUUGGUUGGUGCUCUUUUGAUCUUGGGCGAUCGUGUAAAAUGUAUUCCCAUUUAUCUCGUAUCCUUUGUAAGUCAAUACAGUCGAAGAUGGUCCCCUGGACAACGAGUACAACUCAUCACAAACAGUGGUGUCACCUCUGAGACGUGUUUCCAACCAACUGCUGAAAGUCCUGAUGUGUUCACAUGUAAUCCAGUCGUCACACUGCUCCGGGUGUUUGGAGCGCAGACUGUUCUUGUGUUCAUCGACAUACGGGGUCACCAAGGUAGAGUUCUGUAGAACUGUGUAGUGUGCUUGAGACAAAGAAUGCCCGUCCCUGCAUAUUAUUGAGUCCGCUCCUAGCAUGCCUUUUCCAGUCAGUCUCCCCUCAUACCGCGAUUUAGGGAGACCUAUCUUCUUAAGGCCAGGAAUGAAGUCAACACAAAACCCAAUGACAUCCUCUGUUUGAUGGCCCAUGGAGAUGCUUCCUUCUGGCCUAGCGCGGUUACGGACAUAUUUCUUUAGGACUCCCAUGAACCUCUCAAAGGGGAACAUAUUGUGUAGAAAUACGGGCCCCAGAAUGACAAUCUCGUCGACUAGAUGAACUAGGACGUGCGUCAUGAUAUUGAAGAAGGAUGGUGGGAACACCAGCUCGAAACUGACAAGACAUUGUGCCACAUCACUCCUUAGCCUUGGUAUGAUUUCUGGAUCGAUCACCUUCUGAGAGAUUGCAUUGAGGAAUGCACAUAGCUUCACAAUGGCUAAUCGGACGUUUUCCGGUAGAAGCCCCCUCAAUGCAACCGGAAGCAGUUGCGUCAUAAUCACGUGGCAGUCAUGAGACUUUAGGUUCUGGAACUUUUUCUCUGGUAUAUUUAUUAUUCCCUUUAUAUUCGACGAGAAGCCAGUCGGGACCUUCAUACUGAGCAGGCAUUCAAAGAAGAUUUCUUUCUCUUCUUUCGUAAGAGCUUAGCUGGCAGGACCUUCAUACUGCUUCGGAGGCAUGCCGUCUUUUUCAUGCAAACGUUGCAGGUCCUCCCGUGCCUCAGGUGUAUCUUUUGUCUUCCCAUACACGCCCAAGAAGCUUAGCAGGUUCACGCAAAGGUUCUUCGUCACGUGCAUCACGUCGAUUGAAGAGCGGACCUCUAGCUCUUUCCAGUAGGGUAGGUCCCAAAAUAUAGAUUUCUUCUUCCACAUGGGUGCGUGUCCCUCAGCGUCAUUCGGAACAGCUAGUCCGCCGGGACCCUUUCCAAAGAUUACGUGUAAAUCAUUGACCAUAGCAAGUACGUGAUCACCGGUACGCAUGGCGGGCUUCUUCCGGUGAUCUGCCUCGCCUUUGAAAUGCUUGCCUUUCUUUCGACAUUGAUGGUUGGUCGGAAGAAAUUGACGAUGGCCCAGGUACACAUUCUUCCUGCUUUUGUCCAGGUAUAUACUUUCAGUGUCAUGUAAACAGUGCGUACAUGCGUGGUAUCCCUUGUUUGUCUGUCCUGAAAGGUUACUGAGAGCGGGCCAAUCGUUGAUGAUUACAAACAGCAACGCGUGCAGGUUAAAUUCCUCCUGUUUGUGCUCAUCCCACGUACGUACACCGUUUCCAUUCCACAGCUGUAAAAGUUCUUCAACUAAUGGCCUUAGGUACACAUCAAUGUCGUUGCCGGGUUGCUUAGGGCCUUGGAUGAGAACUGGCAUCAUAAUGAACUUCCGCUUCAUGCACAUCCAAGGAGGAAGGUUAUACAUACAUAGAGUCACAGGCCAGGUGUUGUGAUUGUUGCUCUGCUCCCCGAAAGGAUUAAUGCCAUCCGUGCUUAAACCAAACCAUACGUUCCUUGGGUCAGCUGCAAACUCAGCCCAGUACUUUCUCUCGAUUUUUCUCCACUGCGACCCGUCAGCGGGUGCUCUCAACUUCCCGUCUUUCUUACGGUCCUCACUGUGCCAUCGCAUCAACUUGGCAUGCUCUUCAUUUCUGAACAGACGUUUCAACCGUGGUAUUAUAGGAGCAUACCACAUCACCUUCGCAGGAACCCUCUUCCUGGGGGGCUCGCCGUCAACAUCACCAGGGUCAUCUCGUCUGAUCUUAUACCGCAAUGCACCACAUACUGGGCAUGCGUUCAGAUCCUUGUAUGCACCACGGUAGAGGAUGCAGUCAUUAGGGCAUGCAUAUAUCUUCUGCACCUCCAAUCCUAGAGGGCAUACGACCUUCUUUGCUGCGUAUGUACUGUCGGGCAAUUCGUUAUCCUUUGGAAGCUUCUUCUUCAAUAUUUUCAAUAGCUUCUCAAAUCCUUUGUCAGGCACAGCAUUCUCUGCCUUCCACUGCAGCAAUUCCAGUACGGUACCGAGCUUUGUGUUGCCAUCUUCGCAAUUGGGGUACAACCCUUUUUUGUGAUCCUCUAACAUGCGAUCGAACUUCAGCUUCUCCUUUUGACUUUCGCAUUGCGUCCUUGCAUCGACUAUGACCCGGCGGAGAUCAUCAUCAUCGGGCACUGGUUCCUCUUGAUCUUCAGCAGCUUCCCCCGUUGCAGCAUCACCGUAUUCAGGGGGCACAUAGAUGUCAUCGUCCUCUUCUUCUUCGCCGUCUUCCAUCAUAACCCCUAUUUCUCCGUGCCUCGUCCAAACAUUAUAGUGUGGCAUGAAACCCUUGUAAAGCAGGUGGGUGUGAAGGAUUUUCCAGUCAGAGUAAGACUUCGUAUUCCCACAUAUAGGGCAUGGACAACACAUAAAACCAUUCUGCUUGUUUGCCUCAGCCACUUCGAGAAAAUCAUGCACGCCCUUAAUGUACUCGGAGGUGUGUCUGUCACCGUACAUCCAUUGCCGGUUCAUCUGCGUGCAUUAUAUAUAAUUAAGUGUGUCAAAAACCAUUACAGAACAUCAUGAAUAGAUAAUUAAGUGACCAAAUUAAUAGAAGUUCAUCAUCACAUUAGAACCAAAGUACAUACAUAGUUCUCAUCUAACAACAUAUAUAUAGCUCUCCAGAGCAUCUAAUUAAUUAAACCAUACAUUGAAACUAUGUAAAACAUUUCAAUGCGAAAACAAAUGUGAUCAUAAUCGCAACCAAGGUAACAAUUGAUCCAACGGCAUAAUGAUACCAAGCCUCGGUAUGAAUGGCAUAUUUUCUAAUCUUUCUAAUCUUCAAGCUCAUUGCAUCCAUCUUGAUCUUGUGAUCAUCGACGACAUCCGCAACAUGCAACUCCAAUAUCAUCUUCUCCUCCUCAAUUUUUUUUAUUUUUUCCUUCAAGUAAUUGUUUUCUUCUUCAACUAAAUUUAACCUCUCGACAAUAGGGUCGGUUAGAAUUUCCGGUUGAACCACCUCCUAGAUAAAUAAAAUCUAUGUCACGUUGGUCGGUAUAUUUGUCAUAAACAAUAAAUGAACCAACUGGUUAUAAAAAGAUAAUAUAUACCACAUCCGAAUCAUAGACAGGACGAGGGCCGACGGGGGCGGAUACCAAAACCAUCGCACUAUGUAAUAAGAAGGAAUAAUAAAAGUAACAAAAUUAGACAAGUAACUAUCUAAAGUAAGAAUUUUUUCCUUUCAGAAAGAAGAUAAGAACAAGAGGCUCACCACGGUGGUGCUGGCGACGAGAUCGGCGCGGGCGAUCGACGGCGGUGAAUACAGGGACGGGACGUGACAGACCGCUAAACCUAGACAAAUCUCGGGGAAAAUGGAGCUCGGAGGUCGAGUUUCGAGAGGACAAAGAUUAACUAGUGUGGCUCAGACAUUUCAUCGAACACCUCAUGUGCAUAGGAGGUGAGCUAGAGCACCCAAAUGCCCUGCCCUCGCCGGCCAGAAAAACAGAGCACUCUGGAGUGCUCUGCUGUGGCGAUGGGGUAUAUAUAGGGAACUCAUUGGUCCUGGUUGGUGGCACCAACCGGGACUAAAGGCCUUUGGUCCCGGUUGGUGCCACGAACCGGGACCAAUGCCCCCUUUAGUCCCGGUUGGUGGCACCAACCGGGACCAAAGGCCUUGUGCUGCCCCGCGUCAAAAGUUUAGUCCCACCUCGCUAGUUGAGAGAGCUCGAGAGUGGUUUAUAAGCGCUGCUGCGCCCACCCUCUCGAACUCCUCUCAAUUGCAGGCUUUCGAGCCUAACUGUUCUCUUUGCCUGUGGGGCCUACUGGGCCUUCUGCGGGCCUGAAUCCUGGCCCAUGGAUGGGUUUCUAGUCGUAUUCAGGUCGUGGUGGCCCAGUAGGUGGCAUAAUUUUUUUCCUCUGUUUUUUUUCUCUUUUGCUUUAUUUGUUUUGUUUUGUUUCUACUUACAACAAAAAACUUAUUUAUUUUAUUUCUAAUUACUUAUGUAUUUUACUUUAAUUAUUUUAUUUUUAUUUAUUUUACUCAUGCUAUUUUUAUUUAUUUUACUGCUGCUAUUUUUACUUAAUUUAUUAAGGUUUAUUUAUUGUAGUUACUAUAGUUUAUUUUAUUAAGGUUUACGAGCUGUGGGAGGGACGAGGGGUGGCGACGUGCUAUGGGACACGAUGCAGGGGCCAAGGAGGGACAUAGAGGAGGGGCCGAGGAGGGAAUUUAGGGUUAAGUUUUUAUACGGGAACGGUUAGACGGGCUUUAGCGGGCUUUCACCGGGCUUGUGGGGUUUUACCAGGUCAUUGAUGAGCGUUUCCAAAAAUGUCAUUAGAAAUCCGUCAUGGAUUAACAGGUUUCUUGUAGUGAUAUGUCGAGCACAAUGAGUGGUGAUCCUCCGGCCUCCCACUCGCACGCAGCCGCCGCCACCCUCCCGCUCGCUCGCCGCCGCCGUCGUCACCAGUCCCGGCCAUGGCGCCGCCGCUGCCGUCGUGCCCCUGAAGACCUAUUCAUCUUGCCUGAAGGUGAUCCUGUGUCAGAUCCUGCACGAUACCUCAUCACUACAACACGUCGGCGGCGGUGUAUGAGGCGUCCAUGGCCCUGGUGGCACCUUCAAGGGAGGACGCAUGAUCUUCAAGGGAGGACAGGCCAUCAGAUUCAUCCACUUGGUAGCGUCUUUGUUCAUCCAGGUUUGACGAUUCAUCUUUUCAUUAUCUAGUCUCUCAGGGAUGUCAAACGUACCCUCAACAACUAACGUCAGCAUUUAUUUUGUUUUGUAGUGAACCCCCUCGAUGAAUGCAUGUCUGUUGCCGUGGCUAGAGAAAAUUGUACAUAUCCACAUCCUGAUAACCAACAAGAUAAGUAGCAGCUUUGAUAUGGAGGUAUUUUCCUUCACUGCGUGCUUUUUCUUUGUGCCCUUUACUGCACUGUAGUAGCAUUUCCUAAAUUGCAUUGAGAGAAUAGGACGGCACAACAAGCUAGGGCUUCAAGAAAACCAACCAAAUUCCUUUUUUUUGGGAUCAACCAACCAAAUUGUUGUAAUAGCACGAUCCGCAAGACCUAGAAGGGAUCUACACAUGACAUCGGUGGCUUCUCCUCCGCCUGCUAUUUGCCGCUUUGACACUGUUGACAGAUCCGAGUUCCACCUGCUAGGCUCGAAUGGUAGAUGUUACGGCCAACUGUAUGUGAAUCCCACUCCAAGGGAUCGCCCUUCUCUAUCCCAGAUAUGGCGGUUAUGGAGUUGAUGGCUCGUGUUUUUUUUUCUCUUUUGCUUUAUUUGUUUUGUUUUGUUUCUACUUACAACAAAAAACUUAUUUAUUUUAUUUCUAAUUACUUAUGUAUUUUACUUUAAUUAUUUUAUUUUUAUUUAUUUUACUGCUGCUAUUUUUAUUUAUUUUACUGCUGCUAUUNNNNNNNNNNNNNNNNNNNNNNNNNNNNNNNNNNNNNNNNNNNNNNNNNNNNNNNNNNNNNNNNNNNNNNNNNNNNNNNNNNNNNNNNNNNNNNNNNNNNNNNNNNNNNNNNNNNNNNNNNNNNNNNNNNNNNNNNNNNNNNNNNNNNNNNNNNNNNNNNNNNNNNNNNNNNNNNNNNNNNNNNNNNNNNNNNNNNNNNNNNNNNNNNNNNNNNNNNNNNNNNNNNNNNNNNNNNNNNNNNNNNNNNNNNNNNNNNNNNNNNNNNNNNNNNNNNNNNNNNNNNNNNNNNNNNNNNNNNNNNNNNNNNNNNNNNNNNNNNNNNNNNNNNNNNNNNNNNNNNNNNNNNNNNNNNNNNNNNNNNNNNNNNNNNNNNNNNNNNNNNNNNNNNNNNNUCUCUAUCCCAGAUAUGGCGGUUAUGGAGUUGAUGGCUCGUGUUUUUUUUUCUCUUUUGCUUUAUUUGUUUUGUUUUGUUUCUACUUACAACAAAAAACUUAUUUAUUUUAUUUCUAAUUACUUAUGUAUUUUACUUUAAUUAUUUUAUUUUUAUUUAUUUUACUGUUGCUAUUUUUAUUUAUUUUACUGCUGCUAUUUUUACUUAAUUUCUUAAGGUUUAUUUAUUGUAGUUACUAUAGUUUAUUUUAUUUUAUUUUAUUAAGGUUUAUUUAGUUUUAUUUAUUUUAUUAAGGUUUAUUUAUUUUAUAAAUAUAAAAAAUGAACAUAGAUGCGCUUAUAGAGAAAAUUAAACCUAAAUUCAUAGUAAAUUUCUAUGAAAUUUACUGUGAAUUUAGGUGAAAUUCCCUGUAUAAGGGCAUCUAUUUUCACUUUAAGAGAAGCUCAACAAGGCAUAGAGGGACGGGCUUAUAAACUGGUGUGAGCGUCCUUCGGUUGGCGAGGUGGGACUAAACACUGGCCGCAACUAGGACCAGCCCUUUAGUCCCGGUUUGUGGUAGGAACCGGGACUAAAGGGUGGUGGGCCAGGAGCGUGGCCCAUUGGUCCCGGUUUGUCCCACCAACCGGGACCAACGGGUCCGGACGAACCGGGACCAAUGCCCCCACGAGGCCCGGCAGGCCCCUGGCCGCACGAACCGGGACCAAUGCUCACAUUAGUCCCGGUUCGUGACUGAACCGGGACUAAUGUGAAUAUUGCCCUGUGACCAAAGCCCAGUUUUCUACUAGUGAGUAGGUGAGAUAACUUCUGGAAGGAUCGUUUUUAGUUUGUUUGCAAGCAUCUUAGAAAUGAUCUUAUAGACUACGUUGCACAAAGAGAUGGGCCUAUACUGUGUGAUUACCUCAGGGCUCUCAACCUUGGUAUUAAAACCACAUUAGUUGAGUUCCAACCAUCUGGUAUCAUCCUCUUUUUAAUUGCAUCAAGAACCUCAUUCGUAAGCUCAUCUCCUACUAUGUGCCAGAAUCUCUUGAAAAAGAUUGCAUGAAGCCCGUCGGGACCAGGGGCCUUCAUAUCACCGAUUUGGAAAAGAGCUUUCCUGACAUCAUCUCUAGUAAAAUCAAAAAUCAAGAGAUCAUUCAUAUAGUUUGAAAUAGAUGGUUUAAUAGAGUUCAGUACAGCCGGGACAAUAUCCCCAGCGCUAGAUGUGAAAAGGCUACCGAAAUAAUCUCUGAUGAGCGGGCUCAUGUUAUCAUUCCCCUCAACCCAGCCACCUGUAUCGUUCCUCAACUUUUUUUAUUAGAUUUCUUAUUCUCCUAGCUGAUGCGAAGUGGUGAAAAUACGCGGUAUUGCGAUCGCCCCAUCGUAGCCAGCUAACUCUUCCCCUCUGGGCCUAAUAUAUCUCAUCUUGCUCAAGGAGAUUUUCAAUAAAGAUAGCUAGCUCUCUUUGCUUCAUUCAUACCUCCUCUGAUGGUGGCGUUUUCAUAAGGUCAUCAAGCUCAUUUUGUGCCUUUCGAAGUAGACUACGGGGUUCGUUAAGUGCCCUUCGAUCCCACUUGUGCAAGUCCGUGUGAACCGAGUCUAAAUUUUCUCUAGCUGUUGGGCAUAGCGCUUGCUGAACGGCCUUCUGCCAUGCCGUCUUGACAAUCUCUUCCACAGUUUCCUCUGCAAGCCAGCGAGCUUCAAUUUUUUGUGUGCGGCCAGGUCUGUUGUCAGGAACCCCCGCCAGGUACUUGGUAUCAAGGCAGAUUGGCCUAUGGUUUGAUUUGCCCAUCUCAAGAUUAGCAGGACUCGCAAAAGGGUGCAACAACAUCUAAUCUGAGUUUGAUACUGCCCAAUCAAGCCUCUCACGAAGACCUCCACGAAACCAAGUGAAUAUGUCUCAUGUGUAUCCUAUGUCCUCCAAACCACAAUCAGAAAGAGCAUAUUGAAAAGCUUGCAACCUUGAGUGGUUGCGAGGGGCACCACCAUCCUUCUCAUGGGAAAACAAAUCUCAUUAAAGUCCCCAAUACAAUUCAUGGUAAAUUUGACUGGGCAUGUAAAUUAGCUAAUUUUUUUAAAUAAUAUUUUUUUCAUUAAUUUGAGAAAUAAUACGCGGAUUUGAAAUUUGUCAAAAAUAAUACAGCGUCGGGUUCCCUGUAGCCAAUUGGAUUCAGUCGGCUUUGCGUAAGCCGAUUCGGCCCACUCGGCCACGCGAUGGCCGAUAGGCAUGCAGUCGGCCAGGGCAAAGCCGACUGGCCUGUUGGCCGCGCCGAAGCCGACGAGUAGUGCAUCCACACUGCAUGGCCCAUACAAGUUUGAGAAGGGGGGAAACGAAGAACUUGAGGGAACCUUUCCCCAACCCCCCAAGUCGCUCCCCAGGAGACUCCGGGGGCACAACCGCGCCGCCGCCUAGAAGCCCUCCCUCCGGUGCUCCCUCUCCGCCGCUGCCGCCGGCAUCUGCGCCGUGGUGGCGGCGGGCCCCCGCUGCCAAACGGCGCCGGGGGCGGCUCCUUCUCGUGGUGGCGCUGGCGACUGUCGGACUCUGCUGGGGGGGGGAUGGCGGCUGGCCGGCGCGGGCAUGCCGGGGCGGCGGUCCCGGGGACGCGGAGGCAGGGGAGUGCGGUGGCCGGCGGUUCCCGGCGUGGGGGCUACGGGAUGGCCUCGUUUCGGGGGUCCGUGCUCUCCCAGAUCCGGCCAGGACGGCGGCUUCCAUGGCGGGCCUCCGUGCAUGGCGGGCGGGCUGGGGCGUGGCUUCUCCGGCUGGCGUCUGCGGAUCCGUGGUGGUGGCGGUGUGCCACGGAUCGACGGGGGCGGCGCGGCGGGCGCUCGAGGUGGUGCAGAGAUGUCCUGGUGAUGGCGGUGUUGGCCCAUGGAUGGUAGGCGGGUGCUGCCUGGUGGCGGAGCGGCUCCGGAAAGUGGAUCCUCAGUGUGGAAGCCGGGGCGGCGGCCCCGGAAAACCAUGCGGCAAGGUGGCGCGGUGGUUCGAGAUCUUGGCGGCGUGUGGUUGCUGCCGGCUGAUCUGUGGCUUGACGACGGCGACAUGCUACUUCCCUCUCCACGGUAAUGGCCCAAGGUGACAACUUUGCUCCCCCCUUCCCAGUUUGCUAUGCUGCGAAGACUUGAUGGACAUGGUCAGGAGAAAUCCGUGCGCUGCCGCGGCUGCGGGCAACGACGACGCCUGUGGGCGCCGUCUCCUCCCUGGAGGCGUUGUCAUGGCCAUGUCCAUCCCCUGAUCAAGCACCGGGGGAAACCCUAGGCUCGGUUCGCCGAGCCAGGCAGCGGCGGCGCCAUGGCGUCGUCCUCUCCUUGGAGACGUUGCGUGGGUGCUUGGGGUGUCUUGCGUGGAGGAGUAGCUGGUGUGGGUUGCCUCAUUUGCCUCGGCGACGCGGCUUUAGGCGCCAUGUUGUCACAUGUUGGUUCUUGCCGUGGGCAUGGGCAUCCAGGGCGCAAUGUACUCCAUCUUCGACGGCUCUUUUGAGAUGUCUUCCUCGAGUUAGGCUAGCUCCUGUUGUUCACUUGCCGAUCUCCUAGGCACUAAGAGUGAACGGUGCGUUGAUCUAGUUUGGUUUGAAGGUCGUGCUCCGAGGUGUUGGAUCCGGAUGUGACGCGGCAUGUGUGCUAUGUGUUCUACAUCUUCGCCAUUUAUGGCUUGAGUUUGGGCAGGGCAAGUAGUGUGUCGGUGUUGUCAUGAUGGAUGUGGAUGCUAACCUUUUGGUGUAGCAUUGUGACGAAAGGCGUUGUAUCAGUCAUCUUGGCCUCUUCUUCUAUGAAUAUAUGAUACGUAUGCUCGUGCGUAUUCUAGAAAAAAAGUUUGAGAAGGGGGUACGUAUAUGGAGCAGUUCCAAGUGCCCAUCGAUUGUACGAGCGCGCACCGGUUGAUCAGGUGAUUACCCUAGCAUUACGUGCAUGAAAGGACCCACGUACUGGCCAGGUCGUACGUAAUUUUAAUACACAUGUGUCCCAGUGUAUGUACGUAUACAUGAAUACGUGUCCGCCGCGAACCAAUCUGUGGUUGGAUAAUUAGAGGGACUGUGGUAUCCCCAGCCCACCAGGUUUCAAAUCCUGGUGCUUGCAUUUAUUCAUGGAUUUAUUUCAGGAUUUCCGGCGAUGCGCAUUCAGUGGGAGGAGACGUUCCCGUCGACGACGAGACGUCUACAGUGACUUCGUAAAUCUCAAGAUAAUAUGCCGGGGGUAGAGUGUGCGUGUGUGCGUUCAUAGGGGUGAGUGUAUACGCGUGUGUAUGAGCGCUUGUGUAUGUACAUAUGUUAAAAAAAAGAAUACGUGUCUGCCUCGCCGGUUCAUACGAUGUCUCGAAUACUCAAAUACCAGCAAAUACGUACGCACUUGUGGCCAAUUAUCCGAUCGAUCAAUGGUGUGCCGUGCACUGUUUGAAUGCUCGUGCGUGUGCAACGAAUGAAAAGAUAAGCAUCAACACAUUUAUCUUAAAACCAGCUUCGCGUGCAUAUCUCUUCCAAAAAGAUCGGGCCGGCCGGCGCUGGCGCGUGACGAGCGCCCAGUGUGCCAUGCAGAGUGGAUGCACCACCCGUGGGAUUCGGUGCGGCCAACAGGCCUGCCUAUCGGGCAUCCGAGUGGGCCUAAUCGGCUUACGGAAAGCCGACUGAAUCCAAUCGCCCACAGGGAACCCGACCCUGUAUUAUUUUUAAAAAUAUUUAAAUUCACGUAUUAUUUCUCGAAUUAAUGAAAAAAUGUAUUAUUUAAAAAAAAUAGUUGUAAAUCACGUAGCAUACAGUAUGUAUGUUCUUUGUUUUCCCAGCUUGGUUCACCAUAUAUACCCGUGAGCCUCCACAUGUCACCAUUCAUCUCUUCCAUUGAAACAUCGAUGAAAUCUAAGGUGGUAGUUCGGGAGUAGAUCCUAACCUCCUUCUUCCAGACCAUGAGCAAUCCACCUUUCCUUUUGACGAUACUAGAUGCACCAUCGGGACGAAGGCUAUGUGGGGAGAACAUUAUUCCAUCUUCAGAGAGCCGUCGCCGCCUCACCUUCCUGAGCAGGGCACAAACCCUAAACAAACGCAAAGGGACACCUAAAAAUGGAGCUGGAGCCCUCCCACCGGCAAGAACCGAGAUCCACCAUGCCCCCAUGGCCUAGGGCCAAAGCAGACGGGUAGACCCACGGUGGCGCCGACAGGAGGCGAGCUUCCUUCAAUCUAAGAGAAUAACAUCGUAUGUCAUCAAAAAAUGUGUGCAUUUAUGUACAGCUAUGUUCAUCCCUUCAAUCGAAGAUCAUUUAUCAUCUGUUGUGAAAAUGUUUUCACCAUGAUGAAACAAUUGCAUUUACAGUUUGAUCACGUAGAAAACACACAACUGAAUGACGUGGUACACCAGACACGACAUCUGAAAAAACAAACAUAUAAUUUAAGAAGAAAACACUAAUAUACCCAGAAGAACUUAGUUAACACUCCAGUCGUGCUAGCCUGUCAAGAGCCAAAGAUAGCGCCUCUGGAAGAAGGGGAGAUCUGCACAGCAGGUAAGUUGCAUUCUAAAAAAUUGUUAGGUCAUUUAUAUCAUGACUAAUUUUUGAUGUCCGUUGUACUGCCAUGAUUGAAGUGAAUAUAUCAAACCUUUUCUUACAAAAAGAAAAAAAACAGCGAUAUGAGCAAGCGAUGCUGCCUAACAUGGGGCCUCUCCUUUUCUUACAAGUCACCAUCACCAUUAGCCACUUAUGUAGCAAGUGAGCAGCCCCAGCCUGUUGCAGAUCCUAGCUUGAUUUUGAAGCUUCAGCUUGGUAAAGUUAUUAACUCUUUUGUAUCAUCUAAAAGAGAGUGAGGAAUCGCUGUCGUGCAACUACACUAUCAACGACCGCGAUUACAACAUGGGUACUACCUUAUCAAUAGUACAUAUCCUCAGUGGGCGGCGUUCGUGAACACCAUCUCUGACCCCAAGGCAAAAAACAAAGCCGGUAUGUAACAACGCAAGAAGCAGCUAUGAAGGAUGUGGAGAAGGCAUUCAAAGUGCUUCAAGCUCGUUGGGGAACUGUUCGCGAAGCUGGAAUGAUGUGGGAAUCAGAGACUUUGUGGCUGAUGAUGAUAUGUUGUGUUAUUUUCCAUAGUAUGAUCGUCGAUGACAAGGGUGAUGGGGUAGCCCAAACUAAUAAUUUUGAAAUGCCUGGGGAAUAAGUCCACAUCCUGAAAGAACAAGAUGCAGACAAGCUUAUGAAUUUUCUGUAGAUGGAUCGGAAUCUUCGAGAUCAUCAGAUGCAGCUACUCAGUGAUCUUGUGGAGCAUAUGUGGACCCAUAGUGGAAAUCAAAGAACUGAUGUUUGAAUUGUGCGCUUUAAAUAAAUUUUACGUUCGAACUAUGUAUUUCGCUACCAAAAGAUAUUAUGUACAUCUGACAUUCACGUGUAUAAUGGACGUGCAUGGAUUUGCAUGAAUUUGAGGGUUCAGAUUUGAAGUGUGUAGCUGUCAGGCACGACAUAUGAGGGGCUUUCCGGCGCGGCUCGCAAGCCUACCCGGGCACGUCCGCGGACGUAUAAGGGGCAUGAUUUACCAAGUACGAUUGUAGAUGCUCUCAAGUACCACACCGGUCGCGAAUUCAACGGCGGAUGCGUUGUCUGCUCAGACUGUGAGCAUGGUCACGUUGUUCUCACCGACGUGGAUCUCCAACAUUAUGCAGCGGGGAGGCGGCCCUUGCAGGGUCUAUCAGGAAAUAGCGGGUCGAUUGAAGGGGUUUUUCCCACUCGCCCCCCAUUGGAAAGCUCUAGUCAAGACGUCCUUUGAGCAGUGCCUACACACCGGGUGCGUCGCCGCGACAGAGAGGUUGCAUGAGAGACGAUCGUACGGCUUGUACCAUCGGCUGUGCGUUGACAAAAAAGAGAUAUAAAAUGUAGUCAACAUUGAGAAUGAGGCAGCAAGAGAUGAACAGGGCAUGGCUACUACACUUACCCCCGUGGAUCAAGUGGGCCACUCGAGAACGAGGAUGUGUCAAAGGCUCCGAGCAACAUCGCUCCGAUCAAGAGCGCCUCCAUCAUCCUCACUUCAGCAGCGACCCGCAUCCUCAACAUUGAAAGUUGUGAAAAGUUCCAAAAAAGUCCAUGACAUAGAGGUGUACCAGAAAAACGUCUACGUUUGGAUCCUUUGAAAUUAAUUAGGGGCAGAGCUUUCCUGUGAGGAGGGGGGCAUGCCCCCCUCCCACCCUCAAAUAAAAAACCUCAAAACAUGUCUAUGUAAAUCUAUACACCUAAUGAUAAAGGGGCUAUUGCUUCUUGUGAUAUGUCACGGAAAUUGCCCCUAAAGUUGCAAAAUAUUACCCACCAAUGCAACUUAUAAGUGAUAAAAUAAACAUUUCACGCAUGGGAAUUCCCCGCCUGGGCCGUCCCAUGCGGUAGAGACCUCCUAUACUGUGCUCUGCACGUUGAGGGAAGACGCAGCGCCUCCGUUUGGGACUUCAAAAUAAUUUCUUAUUUUUCAAAUUUUAUUUUAUUUUCUUUUUCUUUUGUUUUCCCUUAAUUUAAAUAAUUUGGAACUUCAAAAAGUUCUAAAAAUUAAAAAAAGAACAUGAGAAAUUUGAAAUAAAAUGUUUGUGGAUUCAGAAAAUGUUUGCAAUUUUGUCGGAAAAUGUUUUCUUAUUCAAAAAAUGUUCCAAAUUAUGAAAACAAAUAUUCAGGAAAUAAGAAAUGGUCAUGCUUUUUUAAAAAGUUCAUAUAUUAAACAACAUUAAUGAAACUGAACAAAAUUUCACCAAUUCCAUAAUUUUCAUGAAUGGAAAAAUGUCCUAAAAAAAAACUGUUCAUGACUUACAAAAUAGUUUAUUCAUUCAUAAAAUGUUCGCUGAUUCAAAAAAUGAUCGUUAAUCAAAAAAUAUUCGUGAAUUUGGAAAAUUGUUCUACCAAUUUCCAAAAAAAGUUCGGUCAUUCUAGAAAUGCUCGUAGAUUCAAGAAAAAUGUUUAAAUAAAUGUUCACAUUUUUUAAAAAUGUUUGUAAAUAGUAAAAAAUGUUCAUGAAUUCAAAAAAUGUUCUUGAUUUUAGAAAACAAUCCAAAAAAAAUGUCUGCAAAUAGUAUGAAGUGUUCAAUAAUUUGAAAAAUGUUCACGAUAUCAAAUAUGUGCACGAGUUUAACAAAAUGGUCAUGAUUUCACGAAAUGGAGAGUGAUAGUGUAUCUUGGUGGUGCAGCAAAAUGUGGUCAUGGCCAUAGAAGAUUAUGAUUUUUUUUCUCCCGUUGCAACGCACGGGCCCUUUUGCUAGUCAUUUAUAACAUGCUUAAAUUUCUUGAAUCUUAAGCAUAUUGUCUCUAGCUUGCCAUCUCAAGAUUUUCUUUGAAGCUCCUUAAUUGCUUGGACUUCCUGAUUAACCACGGGCUAUGGGCAUCUCCUAUAAGUCCAGAGGAGAAAACUGCACACCAGUCUGUUGUACAGGUGGUAGCGGCGCAUGUGUGACACCUCAAUUUUUGGCCCUUUCUUUUUCUUUGGUUUUCUUUGAUCUUUGAUUUGGAUUUCUUCUGUCUGGCUUUAUGGUCUUGAAACCUAGGAAGACCAUCUCUUUUCCCCCCUCUCAAGUGAUUCAUCACUCUCAAAAUCCAUCCCAAGAUCAUGUCAUUUUCACCCUAGCCCAACCCUAAUCUUUAUUUCUUGGAAAUAUUUUUUUUCUAUUAAAGGAAUAACCCUGUUUCCCCUACGUUGUGAAGCAACCUAUAUUUCUGUCAUUCCCAAAAUUUCCACAAAAUUCCCAUAAUUCCUUUGGACCAUUUGGACCUUGGAUAUGUAAAAAUAUUCAAGAUUCCAUGCUCAUGGUGAGCACACCAUCCAAUCUUUGCGUUUGGUCAUAUUUUUUUAGUUUGUGAAGCAACUAUAUUUUAUAUUGCUCUAUAAUUUUUGAACUUUACCAGAACAUUCUCCCACCUAUAUAACUUCCCUCCACAAAUUUUGAGCUCAUUUCAUCUAUCCAAUAAUUCUCAAGAAUUUUCCCAAGUUUCUGUCUAGUGGGAAGCAUUGUGAAGGAAGUGCCAUUUUUAUUUAUCCAAAUGGUAUGAAAUUUUUACGGUGCCUUCCUAUGCCCAAAACACCAUCCUCCACCAAAUUUUGGGUCGAUCCAUCACAACAUUUAAGCACAGCUCCAUUUUUCCAUUUUCUGUCCAGUGGGGUUGUUUGUGAAGCAAGUGCUAUCUAGACACUCCAAUUGAGCUAAAACUUUGCCAAAGCGAUCACCUUAGCAGACGACCACACUAAAACCAAAAAUCAAACUCAAUGGACUUGUGCAUUGCUCUCACCACUAAUCAAACACCCUACUACUGAUUAGUGUUAGUUCCAAGUUCAGCCACCUCUUUUGUCUCUGCUGUUGUCUCUUUAUACCUAGAAGCUACCUAGGGUGUGCCCAACCUUCCAGACAUACUUGGGCCCCCAAAAUCACUAGUUGAGGAGUACUCGUUGCAAAGAUCACUCCAACUUCCCCAGAUUGCGACAAGUGGCGCGCUGCAUGUGCGUCACUUGUCGCAACCUGGGAGUUUUCCCUUUUUUCGUAGAUCCGUUUAUUUAAAAUGUUUUAUCUCUUAAACGUGCGUCCAAAUCUUGAACCGCUUUCACCAUUGGAUUCCUCGUGUCGAGAUCUUCAAAACUAGAUCCCAUGUUGAUAGGCUUUGACGAACAUUUUUUCACGAAAAAAACCUGACGAAAAAAACCAGAUGAAAAAACAGAACCGGGAGCACGGGUUUUUUCCCUUUCCGCAAGAGGCACGCCCGUGCCUCUCACGAAAUCACAACUGUGCCUCUCGCGGAAGCAAAACCGUGACUCUCGCGAAAGAAAAAAGAAGAAGAAAAAACGCAUUUUUUUUUCGUUUCCAAGGAGGCACGACAGUGACUCUCGCGAAAGCACAACCAUGCGUCUCGCGAAAGCAAAACCGUGACUCUCGCGAAAGGAAAAAAACAGAAAACGUGUUUUUUUCCGUUUCCGAGAGGCACGGCCGUGACUCUCGCAAAAGCACAACCGUGUCUCUCGCGGAAGCAAAACCGUGACUCUCGCAAAAAAAAACAGAAAACACGUUUUUUUUCGUUUCCGAGAGGCACGGCCAUGACUCUCGCGAAAGAAAAAAAACAGAAAACACGUUUUUUUUUUCGUUUCCGAGAGGCACGGCCGUGACUCUCGCGAAAGCAAAACCGUGCCUCUCGCGGAAGUAAAACCGUGACUCUCGCGAAAGGAAAAAAAGGAAACAUGUUUUUUUGCGCAAAUUUUUUUUUCAAUUUUUUUUAUCAAAAAGCUAGGAAAGACCGGUGGAAAACAAAAACGUCAAAAAAACCCGGAAAAAAACCCGUUAAAAAGCCGAGAACGCGGGCGGACAAAUAAAAAAACAAAAUUCAGAGGGAGCACCCAGAGCGCGGCACGUGGCGAAUGGCUAAGAGCGCGCCAAGUGGCGCUGAUCGUUGCGAGGCUUCCAAAAGAGCGCUCGUUAAUUAGUUGUUCUCGCGUGCCCCUCUACGUUCGUAAAUUUUUUCAUUCUGCCGGCGUGGGGCUCUAACUGGGCCGCAGCCCACAAAGGCUGAGCUGGGGCAUCUCUGCCCACAUCGCAGCCGUCCAUUCGUCACCGAUCCAACCGUCCAUUGCCCGUUCGCGCGGAUCGACGGCCCCACACUGCCCCCUUCCCGCGCCGUUUAAAUAUCUGCCCAAACCCGUCGUCCAAACUCAACGCACUCCCGCCUUCUCAAAUCUCUCAUCGCGCCAAAUCUCUCCGCACCUCCUCCUACCAGAGCCACCGCCGCCAUGGACGCCUCACCCACCGGCGCCGUCUCCAAGGCGAAGAAGUACGUGGUGGGGCGCAAGCUGGGCGGCGGCCCCAGGAAGAAGGCGGUGGCGCGGUCCGUCAAGGCCGGGCUGCAGUUCCCUGUCGGCCGCAUCGGCCGCUUCCUCAAGAAGGGCCGCUACGCGCAGCGCGUCGGCAUGGGCGCCCCCGUCUACCUCGCCUCCGUCCUCGAGUACCUCGCCGCCGAGCUGCUCGAGCUCGCCGGGAACGCCGCCAAGGACAACAAGAAGUCCCGCAUCAUCCCGCGCCACCUGCUGCUUGCCAUCCGGAACGACCAGGAGCUCGGCAAGCUGCUCGCCGG
rnacentral:lncRNA from 1 species